UGGGGUGCAUACACUUGCUUCAUAGUCUUUACCACAUUAUUGACUUACUAACUACAAUUUAUCCAUGCACAUUGCACAGGGUGGACUUGGUGGCGCUCAAGCAUUUGCGAAGUCAGAUAAAUUGGUGAAUAUGCUAAAGAAGCAAAAGGAAUCAAAUAGACCUUAUGGUGCUAUAUGUGCAUCCCCAGCUUUAGUGUUGGAGCCCCAUGGCUUACUCAAGGUACGACCGUUUCUGCUUAAAUUAUUUACUCAGAUUUGGAUCACCCAAUCUGAACUUGAUGAAGGAUUAUGAUGUUGUGUGAUUUUAUGAAUGUGGUCGUAUCUCAUGUAAGUCAGUGAUGAAUUAAUUGGAGUUUGCUGACAAAUUAGAAACUGAAAAACUGCUGCUGCUUCAUUAGUUACAUUACCCAAAGAGUUAAAAUAAACAUCCCAAAUUUUGUCCCAAAUUCUGUCCCAAAUGAUAUGGCAUUUAUUGAGUGAUUGUAUUAUCUAACCAACCAAUUGAUGAAUGUCACAUAAUUUGAGAUGGUUUUUUGGGAUAAAGAAUUUGGGAUUUUUACCCGCAAAAAUCCCAAGUACUUCCUGCUCCUGCAAUAUCAUUGCUGUGUAUUUGCUUUCCCCUUAGACAUAUUCAAUUGUGGUUCAGGGUAAAAAAGCUACAGCUUUUCCUGCUAUGUGCAACAAGCUGUCAGAUCAGAGUGAAAUCGAAAACAGGGUUGUGGUUGAUGGCAACCUCAUCACCAGUAGAGGGCCAGGAACUUCUAUGGAGUUUGCACUGGCAAUUGUGGAGAAGUUUUUGGGCCGCAACAAGGCACUUGAGCUUGCAAAGAUAAUGCUUUUCACUCGCGCCUAACGUUUGUAUGGGGACCUGUCUACUAUUAAACUAGUGUGUUUAUUUCUGUAUUGCUACUGCUUGUAGAGAGGGGAAAUGGAAACUUGAAUUCAUGUUUGAAUAUGGAUUCACUGUGUGGGUUUGUACAGCAGUUUGGUUUAUAAAUAAAUGAGUUCAUGGAGUCACUUCAAAUAUUCGGAAUAAACCUGAGUUUAGAUCUGUUAUCAAUGGUCGGAGUCCAAUUGCGAUCGACUCACUGGGAAUUUUAAUUAUGAAUCAUGUUAUAUUCCACCUUUCUCAUAAAAUGUUAACUCGAUUUACAGGAUAAGAAGGAAAAGAAAGACGCUAAGAGAGGAGCAGACACCCAAAAAGAGUUGACCACUUUGUUGGAACAUAAAUCUCUAGAAUAUUGAAAUAAAACACAUACCAUAUCUAGUAUCAAGUAUGUAUGUGCAAGAAGAUACAAAUUUGAAGAUCAGAUUUCUCAUUUCAAUUUAUGUUCUGCUUAGAGCAAUGGCUCUUAUUCCACAAGCACAAGCAGGAAAGAGUACGCACGAAGUUAAGAAACACACAUUGCAAAAGUUGCAUUAACUACUUGCGGCAACAUCAUCCAAGAACUUGACUUUAAUCUUCUUGAGCUUCGCUGCAGCAUCUGUCAUAUGCAUUCUCUUGUCAGGUGACUCCAUACAACAAUCCAAUGCCAAAUCCAUGAUGCUUAAUAAACAAUCCAUUUUGGCAGAAAAAGCUUGCUCUUCUCGCACCAAAUUUGCGUCAACAACUUCACUCAAUCUGUGAGGUAAUGACUCCUUCACCCAUCUCCUUAAACUCAUUUCUUCUGUGAACAUUUGAUCGGUGGGCCUCUUUCUCGUGAAAGUUUCCAUCAAUAACACACCAUAGCUGUAGACAUCACAUUUGGCUGAAACAAUUCCUUCUAAUCCAUACUCUGCAUUUUUUAAUUUUAAUUAUGAAACAAAUGAUAAAACAAAUAAUUUUUUUGAUAAUUAAGGUAACCCAAACUUUGCUCGUGCUUGAAAAAAGAGCAAAAAUUUUAAUUACAAUUGAAACUUUACCUGGUGCCAUAUAACCAAUUGUAGCCAUUGUCAUGGUUUGUGUCACACAAUCUUCUCCUUCACCUAAGAGUUUGGAAAUGCCGAAGUCGCACACAUGUGCCAUCAUAUUUUCAUCCAAGAGAAUGUUGGUGGGCUUCAAAUCACAAUGAAUUAUAGGUGCCGACGAAUGACCAUGAUGGAGAUAUUCAAGAGCCGACCCCACAUCUAUCAUUAUAUUCAACCUCUCUAGAAUGUCUAAGAAAUAAUUGUAAGAAUACAACCACUUCUCGAGACUACCAUUUGGCAUGAACUCAAGUACCAAUGCUUUGAAAUCUGGAUUAGAACAACUGCUAAGGAUCUUUAUGAGAUUUCGAUGACGAACAUUCCGUAAAACUUCACAUUCAGAAUCAAAACUCCUAAAUGCUCUCUCUAGUUGCAGAUUGAAAAUCUUUAUUGCAACAUUAGUCCCGUCGGAAAUGGUUCCUUUAUAAACUGAUCCAAAACUACCUGUACCCAGCAAGUUACAUUCAUUAAAUUCAUCAGUUGCUCGUUGAAUGUCAAGGUAGGAUGUUCUUCUCCAUGUUGCAAGAGGUAGGAAAUCUUCGUGAUCUGAUUUUUUUGUACUCCUCUUUCGGCAUCUUAUGUACAUAAUGAUGAUAAUCACUAUAAGUACAGAGGAUACUAUCGGAGGCAAAAUAUAUUUAAGGACAAUUAGAGCAACGUUCUUGGUGCUUUUGCUGUCACCUUGUUUGCAAGGUGGGACUCGGAGUUUAGGUGGACCACAGAGUGCAUAAUUUCCGAAAAAUGAUUCAGUUGACAAGUUUUUAAAAGACCCCUUAACAGGAAUUUCCCCUUCUAGCCUAUUAUGAGACACAUUAAAUUGUUUGAGAUGUGACAAUAUCUCCAAUGACUUAGGAAUUUUUCCAGAGAGAUUGUUGCCGGAGAGAUCUAAGGAUUCUAAGCUUAUCAAACUGCCAACUGAUUCAGGAAUAGGUCCCUGAAAUUGAUUACGAGCCAAGGAUAGAGUUUCUAGAUCUAUGAGGGCACCAAUGGUUGAUGGAAUAUCACCUAAUAAUUGAUUCCUUGAUAAAUCUAAAACUGUCAAGACCUUUAACUUUUGUACAUUGGAAGGGAGAGGACCAUUUAAUGAAUUAGACGACAAGUUUAUCUCUAAGAUGUACUCAAGGCUCCACAAGGAUGACGGUAUACUAGAAGUGAGCUUGUUGGAGCCUAAGCGGAGUUCUCUUAGAGAUGUCAAACUCGCCAAGCAUGGCGGUAUAUGUCCAGAGAGCUUAUUUCCAUUUAACCUUAUUCCGUAUAUCAACUCCAAGUGGCAAAGAUCAUAGGGAAUGGAUCCUUCCAAAUUAUUUUCUUCAAGAGAUAAACCUUGUAGCCGCUUAAGUCUUCCCAUCGUUGGUGAAAUAGUUCCAUUCAAGUCAUUGAAGCCGAGGCUUAAGAGGAUCAGGCCACGCAACUUACCAAUUUCUUUAGGAAUGCUGCCCCCGAGUUUGCAGUUGGAUGCAUAAAAUUGUCGAAGAGAAGCAGAGAAAUUUCCAAUCACUGGUGGAAGGAUGCCACCCAAUGGAUUAUAAGCUAAGGCUAAAAAUGUUAAAUUUCUGCAAUUAGUCAGAGAAGAGAGAAAACUCCACUGAUCUGCUGAAGAUGAUUCUGUCGUCAAGUUAUUAAAUGCUAAGCUGAGCACGUCGAGGUGUCUCAAGUUGCCAAAUGUAUUUGGAAUAUGGCCCGAGAAUGAGUUGAAGCCCAAGUCUAGGGCAACGAGUUUAGUAGCAUUGGUGAUAGAGUGGGGAAUUAUCCCUAUAAGAUUAUUGGCCGACAAGGCUAAAUACUCUAUGUUCGGAAGCGAGUGGCCAAUCGUUGACGGUAAGCGGCCUGAGAGUUGAUUGCCCCCCAGAGUAAGGAUUCUCAUGGUUGAAAUGUUGAAGAUCGUGGGUGGAAUGAGGCCACUUAAAUUGUUGUCAGCAAAAACAAGAACCUCCAAAUUUUCCAGAUUGCCAAUCUCGGUUGGAAUUUGACCUGCCAUCAGGCCAACAUUGAGGAGUCAUUGAGCUUUUAGCUUAAGGUAAAUUGAGUUUGACAAUGUUACCCUUGAAAAUGUAAAAGGAUCAAAUUAAUUUUAUUACACAAUAAUUUCAGCCAAUAAUGUUCUUUACACAAUAAUUCUGCAAAAUAUGCAUGCAAAUGGAAAAAUAUGCUUCAAUUACAAGAGGUGGUGGAGCGUACCUCGAAGAUUGCUGAAGCUAAGAUCCAGAUACACGAGUUUACUCAAAUUUCCAAUCCUUGAAGGAAUAUUUCCACCAAUAGUAUUGAACUCUGCACGCAGCGUCUCUAGCCUUGAUAAGUUGAAGAGAGAAUUAGGGAUGGGACCUGUGAAACUGUUAUUAUAAAGUCUCAAUAUUCGGAGUUUAGAUAAGACACCAAUCCAUGAUGGAAAGCUUCCGCUCAAUUUAUUGUAAGCGAAACUCACGACUCUGAGUCGACGUAAUUGCCCCAAUUCUUUCGGCAGAUGGCCAUGAAAAUUGUUCUCACUAAUGUCAAGAGACACUAGAAAUGAGAGAUUUCCCAAGUGUAGUGGAAUGGUGCCUCCGAGACCCAUAUCUGAAAGAUUCAAGGCAGUGACUCGUUGAUGGCGUGAACCACAAGAGAUACCAACCCAGCUACAUAUUGGAUAAGAUAUAGACCAAUUAUUUGCCAGGGCACUCCGAUAAUCAAGAAUGUGGGCUUUGAAUGCCAGAAGAGCUGAUUGAUCUGUUGUUAAAUCGUUUAAAGUCGUCACAGCUAAGCUAGCAAUGAGAUACUGUAACACUAACACCGACAUAGGAACAAAGAAGAAUGAUAAGCGCAUAUUGGUCGUUUUUAGUAGUAGUUGCAAGGCGAGAUUGAUACAAGUUUUAAGUAAAGGAAAUUAGCAUAUACUUAUAAUGAGACAUAUGAAUUUGAAAAUAAGAGCAGAAAAAAUAUACAGGAGACUUGCAAAUUGUUAUAUUCUGUCAUUGAGCGAGCCGUCCAAGUAAACGCAUUUACACUUGAACCCUAAAUAAAGGCCUUAUGGCACUUUAAUUGCCAUAAGGAAGAAGAUGCUCAACAUUGCCAAAAGUGUUUUUCUUGAAGUCUCGUCUUCCGUAAUGUUUGUAAAAUCGAGGUUUUACCAUCUCUAAUUAAAUAUUUACUCUUGAUUUAGACCACGUAAUCUAAACUUGACGAAAAAUUAUGAUCUUAUGUGAUUUUAUGAAUGUGGUCUUAUCUCUUAUAAGUCGGCAAUGAAUUAAUUAAAGCUUGCUGACAAAUUACAAGCUCAAAAAUAUCUUUUACUUAUUCACAAUCUUAUUUCAUUUUUUUAUAACAUAAUAUUAAAAAUUUGUCUAUUAAAUUAAUUUAAUAAUUUUUUUAAUAAAAAAUCUCAUUGACGACCAAACAACUAAUUUUUUUUUUAUAAAAGCUUUGCUUGUUAAAAUUAUGCUGAAAAAAACUCUACUUAAGUAAGUUCUAUUUUUUUUAUAAAAGCCAUUUUAUUUCUUUAUCUUUUUUAAUUAUUAUUGGAAAAGUAGCGCAGCUUAUCAAAAAAGGAAAGAAAAAAAAAAGUCAAAGUGACGAGUGGCUUGUUUUUUAAUUUCAAAGUCAAUGCAAAGUAAAAGUACCGAAAUAAUCAGUUUUUAAAUCCAAAUAAGUGGCAAUAAAGGGAGGUCUUGUUAGGGGUGUUCGCGGAUCGAAUUUUAUGGAUUGGACAUCAAUCCAUAUUCGAUCCACGAUUUUACGGAUUAUAAAAUUUCAAUCCAAUUCAAUCCACGGAUUUGUAAAAUUCAAUCCAAAUCCAAUCCAUAAAUCUGCGGAUCAGAUGCAAAUUUGACCUAAUCCAUAUCCAAUCUACAAUUUUGCGGAUUGGUUUGUGGACUGAAAAUUUUUAAUUCUGUCAAAUCCACGAACUAACUAAAUAAAAAAAUUUAAUAUAAAAAUAAUUUUACUACGGAUCAAAUUUAAAAUUAAAUAAGAUUUAAAUAAAUAAAUUGCUUAAAUAAAGCUAGCAAAUACAUUUAAAGUUUCAAAAUAUAACACACCAAAAUGAAAAAAAUAUCAUUCGUUUUAGAUCAAGGAAAUUAACUAUUUAGUAAACUAUAUUUGUUUAUUUAAUUAUUUUUUAUUUUUUAUUAUUAUCGGAUAUGAUAUAAUAUAAUGUUAAUGUAACUAUAUUUUAACUUAUUUAUUUACUAGUAAGUACUAAUAACAUAUUUACAAGUUUUAUUUUUAAUUAAAUAAAUACUUUUUAUUUUUUUGCGGAUUCGCGGAUUUUUACCGAUUUACAGAAGUAGAUCCAUAUCCAAUCCACUGAUUGCGGAUUAUCAAAUUUUCAAUUCAAUCCAAUCCACCAAUCCACGGAUCAGACGGAUUGAGCAGAUCGAAUUAGAUUAUGAACACCCUUAGGUUUUGGUGUGCAUUGUUGAAAACUUGGAAGUCUAUAUGACCAUUUAACCAAACUAUAGGGGUAUAACUGUCACAAAUUUUUAAAAAUAAAUUUUACCAAACAUUUAAAUGAUUUUUUUUUCACAAUUGAUUAUUAAAUUCUAAGUGUUAGACUAUUGUAAGAAUACAAAUAAUUGACAUGGACAUAAUAUUAAAUAAAAUUUACUUAUAUAUAUAUAUAUAUAUAUAUAUAUAUAUAUAUAUAUAUAUUAUUGUUUGUAUAUAAAAAUUGCUAACUAAAAAAUAUUUAUAUUUUAUCAAUUUUAUUUCUUUUAUUUUUUUAUCUCAAGAUAAAUAUAAUAAUAACAAUCUCUCUAAAUUUAAUUAUUUUUGCUCUUUAUUGAAUAAGGAUAAUUUUGAGUUUCUGUAAUAUAUGUGAGGAUAUAUAUAAAAUUGUAUUAAAUAUAUAACUAUUCUCAAAAUUAAAUUUUAAAAAACUAGUUCAUUCUCACUUUUCAUUUAAUUAGGCAAAUGGCCACAGAAAUUGUUCUCCCUCAUAUCCAAAUAAACUGAAAACGAGAGAUUUCGUAAGUGUGGAGGGAUGAUGCCUUCGAAACCCAUCACUGAAAGAUUCAAGUUUGUGACUCUAUGGUAUGAGCACCACAACAUAUGCCAAUUCGACUGCAUAUUGAGUAAGACAUGGACCAAUUAUUCAAGAGAUUCAUGAGCCUUCGAAGUGAGAAAUAAAGCAAAUUAUGUGGUGGUCGUGGGUCAAUUGACUACGUUUCGUGAUCUACGUGCGAUUGCAACAGUCGGUUCAUUAAGUGAAAUUAAUGACUCGUCCACUAUAGUAAGAUACUGUCCUCAUUAGGUUGGUGCUGGGUCAAUUUUAUCCAUGAGUCAACUUACAUUAAUUUGAAUUAAUUUAUAAGAGUAUCUCAUUUUCGUUGAUUACGAGUUGUGAUCGAUGACAUGCACGAAAGCAGUCAAUUUACAGGUCAUUCACUAUAUAUAUGGGGUCUAUGGGUGGAUGGAUCUAACGUAAAUUAAGGGUUGAUGAUGACCCUCGACUUCUAACGACGACCAUCGAAGACGACCUUGACUUUACAUGCAAACACACAAUUCGCUCUCAUACAUUAUGUUUUAAAAUUUCUCCAUUUUCCGGGGCCCCGCUGUCGACCGUACACAGUUUAAUUUGUAUAUACAAGACCUCAUUGUUUCUAGCAAGCAUAGAGCCAUAGACCAUAUUAAUUCCAAUUACAUAAAUCUUCAUUUUUAUCAUGAUUUUGGAUCUCGAGCAGUGUGGAUAUAUCCAACCAGAUCCGCCUCACUGGCAUCCCAAUAUAUUUUAGAAUUGAGUAAUGAGUAUCAAUAAAUGUGUAAUUGUAAAUCUACAACGUUUAAUUUUAAUUUGAGGACUCAAAUGAAUUUAUCCAACAAUACCUCGUUAAAUUAAUAUUCCAUAAAUUUUUAACUUUAAUUAAAUAACAAAUUUUGUCCGUCCCAACUUAGGAUUAACGUGGUAAUUAAUAAUUUGAUAAAUUGUUAGAUAAUAAUUUUUUAAAAAAAUCUUAUUUUUUUAUUGGAUCAAACUGAUAUAUAAAUGAAUAAUUAAUUAAUUUUAAAACUAAAUUCAUGUUAUGUCAAUCAAAUGUUAUUGCAAAGAAGACUAGCAGCGACGCUUUGAAAGGUACACCAAAGCCUUUUGCACCUUCUCCUCCGUGACCACCAAUAGAUACUUCCACCAUUUCAACGUCAUGACAUGAUGUAAGUUUCUUUUGUAGAAUUUGCGAAUUGGUAAUCUUUUACACGCGUAUAUUUAUAUCAUUGUAUAGUUAUAGAUUCAAUUACUUUUAUGAUGCAUUUAUUAAUUUGGAAUUGAAGUAGACAAGAAUGGGCUGUAAUGUGAAUGGAGAAUCGAAAUUAGAAUAAGUUAUUUACUUGAACUGUAGAAAUCGAAAUGAGUUGGAUUGUCAUUAAUGUGUUUACUUUGUCUUGGAAUCAGAAUUGAAAUAAGUUAGUUUAUAACAAAUUACUAAAAACUACUUAAUGAACUAUUGUUAUAAUUAUUAUUUUGUAUUUUAAUUAUUAUGAUUAUUUAUUAAAAAUUAUUAUUGUUAUUAUUACUUAUUGUUAAUAGUAUAUUAAUAUAUUAAUAAAUUAUAAUAAUAUAUUAAAUAACUAUAAUAUAUUAAAAAAUAUACUUGUAUUUACAAGAAAUGACUGAUAAAAUUUCUAAAAUCGUCUUCCUCCCUAAAACUCUUAAUGCCACAGCCCUAAAAAUUAAAAAGAUUUGGGAAUUAUAUGUCUUUUUUAAAAUAUUAAAGGGUGUUUAUUUCCUUAAACGGUGGGGACUAAAAGUCCUAUUCCCAAACGAGUAGUGUGCCGGCGUUGGAGGCUAGAAAGACAAUUUGUUACAUUGCUUCAGAAGUGCUUAAUGGAAAUUUUGGUGAGGCAUCACAUAAUUUAAAGGAUCAGGCUACGGUGCAACUGUGGUACCGUACUACAGUUGCAUCCAGCCGUUUUAAUUCACUUAUAUUGGUGAGGUUCACUGGCAUCCAACGGCUGAAUGCAACUAUGGCACGGUACCACAGUUGCACCACAAGUUUCCCCUAAUUUAAAUUACUGGAAUUUGCAUCAAUGGUUUUUAUUGGUUUAUUUACUCGUCAACAAAUUACUGUAACUGCAGAAAACAGUGUAACACAUUGUAUAAUACGUUAAUACGUUAUAUUGGUCAGUGCUCCUACCAAGGAAAUCUUUUUAAGUUUUGUUAGCAGAAUAUUCUUGUAAGGGUGGAGGCAUAAGAGAUUAAUAAUUUAAUAUCUCUUGUUCAUUAGAAGAUUUUUUUUUUUUGGGAAAAAAAAAGAAGAAGAUGGUUUGUUUAAUGUUGAUAAAUUUUGAAGUACAAUUUUAUAGAUGUCGAAUGUGGGCAAAAAGUAAAGAAGCUCAAACACUUUUCUACAUCUAAACUAAUCAUUAGGAUUUAUAUUAACUAAUAAACCCUAAUAAUACGAGCGUUCAUAAAAACUUCAUAUGAACAUUGAACCAGCAUGGCAUCAUAUUGUAAUAAGUUGUACAGCUGUCAAUCUCUUAUUAGUCAGAUAUAUUCUGAGUUAGUUACAUGAAUGUAGUAUAAAUAUCAUACUCUGUACACAUUCUUAGUUAGUUACUUCAGUAGAAUUUUCUCUCCUCUACUCAAUUUUUAAGUUAUCUUUUAUAUUGGGGGCAAAUGAUAUUUUAUUAACGAAAUGAUUUUGCCCUCUUAAUAAGCUCUCAUUUCUCCGCUUUGAUCAACACAGCCUUCUUUUAUUACAUCAAAAUUCUUCCUCUUUCCAUCAAAAUUUCAUGGAUCUGCCCUUACGUAAAAUCAUAUGAGAGUAUAUAAUAAAAUUAAUUAGGUAUGUUUGGAACAUUUUUGGUAUCCUUAAGCUGAUUUUAUUUUUAUUUUUUUAUAGUAUAUAUUGUCAAAAGUAAAUGCUAUAAACACUUUCGGAAAAAAAGAUGAAGAGCACCUUUGGAGUAAUUUUUUCUAUAGGAACUAACAAAACAACUAAAUGAUGUAUGUAUCUCUAAGAUUUAUUAUUAUUAAUUUUUUUUUCUGUAGUUGACAAAGCAUCAUGAUUGUGUUGGAUGAUAAGAUUAAAGGUGGGAAUGGUCCGAAUGGACCAAUUUUUUAGGAUAAAAAAAAAAAUGAUUCAAUCCUGGGCAUGUUUGGCUAUCGAAACUAGUUGAUUAGUCUAAAGUUUAAUUCAAAAGUAAUGGGACUAUUAAUCCUUAGGAAAAUUAUCAUUUGUAUACUCUAUAGAUGCUCUGUUAUAUAAAAAAUUACAACACUUUGAGAGUGUAUCAAUCGUCCACCCUAAGUUGACAAAAUAUAUCUGCCGUCCAUCAAACCGUUACUUGCUGUUUAAAUAGGAUAGCGCCAGAGGGGUAAUUUGGUCUUUUCAUAUGAUACAAGUGAUAAUUCAAGGGUAUACAAGUGAUAAUAAAAGAAUUUAAAGGUAUACAAGUGAUACUUUUCAAGGGUAAAAUCAUCAAUUCGCUAUAAUUCCGUUAACUUUCAAACGACAGCUAACGGUUUAGUGGUCGGCAGAUAACUUUUUUCAAUUUAGGGUGGACGAUUGAUACACCCUCAAAGUGUUAUAGUAUUUUUUAUAAUAGAACAUCUAUAGGGUAUACGAAUGAUAAUAUCCCUAAUCAAUCCUUAAUUCAACUUAGGUUUAAGUAGUAUAUAAAAAAUCUUCUUUAUCACUCUUUUCAUUUUUAUUUAGAUUAAAAUUCAUAUAAAUAAAUAUAAAGAAUUAAUUUCAUAAUUUAUUUAAACUAAAAUUUUAUAUUAUAUUAAAUAUCCAAAUUUUAAUUCAAUAAUUUAUUUAUAUUAGAAUUUUAUGCAAUAUUAAAUCCCAAAACUUUAUUUAAUAAUUUAUUUACAAAAAUAUUAAUAUCAAAUUCAACAAUUAGUAAUAUAAUUUAAAAUAAUUACACUAUUUUAAUAGUUAUUUAGCUAUAUUAAAUUAAAUUUAACAUAUCCUUGUCCGAUACUAUACUAAACAAACGAUAGUACCUUAUAUAGUAUAGUCAAUCUAUUAUAAUAUAAUUCAAUCUAAUCGAACGUGCCAAAUCAGUACAUUUUAAAAAAUAAUUUUAUAACAGCUUUAAAAAAGCAUUUUUUAAGUUACUUUUACAAAAUGUGCUUUCUCCGAAAGCACUCGUGAAAUGCAAAUUCUCACAAAACACGUGGUGUGUUCAAUUGGGCCUCCGCCCAUUAAAACUACAACCAUGAAAGCAAGCAAUGUUCAUUGGGCUUUAUUCUCUCGAGAAAACUUAUACACGUAGCCCACCACCGGCGCCCUAAUUUGUCUCCACCUCUCUAAAUAGAGUUGGACUAUUGGCACCUUUCCAAAAUUCUUCUGAAAUUCCUUUUUCAAUAAUAUUAAGUUUAAUGCUAAAAAUAUCCUUAUUUCCAAAUAAAUACAUUUAAUUUGUGAAUAUUUUAAUUUUCUAUUAUUUUCUCGCUCCUCACAAACAAAUUUUUAUGGGCGAUAAACUUCUUGAUAAAAAUCAAUUAAUUAAAUAAAAUAUCUAUAAGAUUAUAAUGUAAAAAAUUUUAUUAUGAGUCUUAAAAAAAGACAGAUAAAUUUAUCAGAAUGUGUUUUGUUUAUUAUCAAUAGAUUAUUUUAGUAAUUAAAGAAAAAUUUAUAGAGAAUUUGAGAAAAAAAAUUACGUGUGAGUUUGAUAGCAAAGAAAAUAUAAGAGUUUUUUUUUAAGAGAGAAAAUACAAAAGUUUGAAGUGAGAUAAAAUAGAUAUAAGAUAUAUUAGAGUAUUUAUCCUUAAAUUUAAUUGUAACAAAAGAGAGGUUUUAAAAAGAUUUUGGAGGAGUGUCUCCAACUCCUCUAAAUAUUAUUGAUUGAUGCAUAUGUUUCACAGCAUAGAGUGGCUUACAUUGGAGCUUUUCUAAAAAAAUGAAAAUUUCAUUUAAUUAUUUAUUAUUCACGGAUAAGAAAUUAACUUCUUCUUUUUUCUAACGCCACAGUCUGGUGAGCUUGCCUAGUGUGUUUUAGUUGGAUAAAAAUUUUAGCAAAUGCUUCUUGGCAAGGAAGCUUAAAUAGUUUAACCUGAAUUUAACCUCGAAUGAACCCAAAUUAUUAAACCGAACCAAUCCGAAUUGUGAAUCUGAAUUUCAGUUCGAUUCAGUUUGGUUCAGGUUCGUAUUUUCAACUCGAACAAGUUUAAUGCUCCAAUUCGAUCAGGUUGUAACCUAAACCGAAACUCGAAAACCCGAACUGAAACUCAAUUUGGCCACCCCUAAUGAGAACUGAGAAGUACCUGGAUCGUAAAAGAAAGGUUUUGAUGAUAAUUUUGGCUAAAAAUCUGUUUCUUAACUUCUAUUUUUAUUUUUUUAUGCUGUAUUUUAGUUGCUGAAUAGGUUAUAUAUAGAAGUUCAGUUAAUUUUGUUUUGGAUGAAAAAUCAAUGAGUACUUCUGUGAUUAAUAAGUGAAAUUUUGUUUGCAUCAUAUAGUCAGCUAUAAUGCAUUGGAUGGCUUUGACUCAGCAUGGAAGAAAUGCUCUCCGGCAGAUUACUAAAGAGAGCUCUGAUCGCGUGUUGCAUCACCCAUUGCUAUUUUCUUGUCAAGGAGUCAGAUACAGACGAUUGGAAGUGAUUCUAACAACAAUGAGUAAAUUGAUCUUUUGUUUUCCCUUUUCACCAGUUUGGAUCUCUUGACUAAUCAGCCUGUUUGAGUUUUAACUUGUGUAUUAAUGAUUGGUUUUAUAUGUUCAGAAAGUUGACAAGCUUGGUAAAGCCGGUGAAACUGUGAAGGUUGCUCCGGGGUAUUUCCGGAACCACUUGAUGCCCAAAUUGCUUGUUGUUCCAAAUAUCGAGAAGUUGGCUCAUCUCAUUAGAGAGCAGCGCAGGUAUUUGUUUUUCAUGAUUCUUCUCGGUUGAACUUUUUUUGUUUGGGUUGAGAAUGGUUAAUUCUAGUGAUACAGAAAUUUGCUCAUUUUCUUUAGAUACUUUGUUUAGCCAGUUUGUCAAUUAAUUUGACUCAUGGCUUCAAAUUAUUGCUAAAUUCUCAGUUUGGAAAUAUUUGUGAUUUUUGAAGGGGCAUUACAAGUUAUUAAAGUUUGUUGUGCCUGUGACUUAUUUUCAUCAGAUUUGCCAGCCUGAGGAAGAGGAAGAGGAAGAGGAAGAGGAAGAGGUUAGAGUUAUCCGGAAGUCUGAGGACAAUAUGAGUAGAGAAUUUGAGAAGGCAGCUAGGCGCCUAGAGAAUGCUCGACUGGUUUGUGGCCUAUCUUUUAAUUUCUUCAGAUUCGGGACAAAUUGUCUUGGAGUGAACUGAUGUGUUGCCUUUUCCUUUUUUUUUAGCUUGAAUGAUCUAUUUGCUACAGUUAGGAGUGAACGUCGUAAUGAAUUUUAAAUUAUACUGUUUGUUUCGAUUUACUUUUCUAUCUUAGCUCCAUCAAGUGAUUAGUGGAAUGCUGGUCCUGUGAGUAUAAAAUGAAACUCCUUAAGUUAAAUUCCUUAGGCUGUGUUUAUUUUCUGUAGUGGGAGCGAGGAGUGUAAAUUCUUUUCAUUUCAGUAUUUAUUUCAACAAAUUGGCUCCGGAUUGAGAAUCCCACUCAGUAGACCCCACCCAUUUUUGGAGUGAGAUUCCCAUGGGGAGAGGUGGGAGUGAGAUUCCCACUCCCACCUCUCCCUUUUUUUACAUUUUUUUUAAUUUAAUUUAAUUUAACUUAAUUUAAUAUUUAAUAAAAUAAAAUAAAUAAUAUCAUAUUUAUUUGAAUAAUAUUAUUAUAUUUAUUUUAAAAAUAAUAAUACUAUAUUUAUUUAAUAUUAAUAAUUAAUAAUAAUAAAUAGUUUAUUCUAAGAAAAUAUUAAUUUUGUCCUAAAUAAUAUUAUAUUAUUAUUUUAUAUAAUAAUAAAUUUAAUAUAAUUAUAUUAAAUAAAAUAAAAUAAUGUUUCAUUUUAUAUUUACCCUUCUUUUUUACCCUCUUUUUAUUAAAUUUACUAUAAUUAUAUUUAAUAAAUAUUUAAAUAAUAUUAUAUUUAUUUAAAUAAUAUUAAUAUAUUUAACUAAAUAAUAAUUUGGUUUGAUUCUAAGUCUAAAUUACUUAAAAAUAAUAUUAUUAUAUUAAUACAGAAUUAAUAAUAUUACUUUUAUACCAUCUUUAUUUGAAAAUAUAUUAUUAUUAUUAUUAUAUUUAUUUAAAAAUAUUAGUAUUAUAUUUAUUUAAUAUUAAUAAUUAAUACUAAUAAAUAGUUUAUUCUAAGAAAAUAUUAAUUUCAUACUAUGUUAAUAGUAAAAUAUUUCAUUUAUAUUGCCCUUAUCAAUAAUUUUUAAUUUAUAUAAUUAAAAUUAAAAUUAAUAAAAAAAUGUGAUGUUCAUAAUUAAGAAUAUUAAUAAUUAUUAUAAAUUUACAAAUAUAAAUGUUUAUUCAUUAAAUAUAUUUUUUAUUAACUUUGUAAUUAAAAACUAUAAUUCUUUAAAUAAGGAUAAAAUUGUAAUUUGAAACUAUUUACUCCCAAUCCGAGACAAACUAAACACAUAAAUUGAAUUCUGAUCUCCAUUCCAUGCUUUCAUUUUAGUGUAAGUAAACAACAUACUCCCACUCCCAAUCCUAAGAUUCCCACUCCAAUUCAAAAAGUAAACGCUACCUAAAUACAAGUAAUCUUGCUUUCAGAUAUGAAUUAUCUGAUGGAUGUUGUAUUUUCAAGGUAUUGAGGAGAUUCCCCAAUAUUGAAAAAUUGCGUUCCCGUGCAUCAAAAGAUGAUCCCAUAGAAUUGCGUUCACCUGUGACAAAAGAGGAGCUUGUAGUUGAGGUAUGGAUUUUUAUAUUUCUUGGUUGUUUUUAUACUUGUUUCUCAUCAUAAUAGCAAAAGCAGUUUGUUCUGAGUGAUCUGUGUGGUCUCCUAUCAAUGACUGCCGUUUCUAUCAUUUAGUACUAUUGACUAUGUGUGUAUAAAUAUUUUGUUUUUACCAUGUAAUUUCAUAUUCGAUGCAUUUCUAAUACAUUGCAUAGCGUCCAUGAAUGGGAAUGAUAAAAUAAAUUUCAAGCGUGUUUCAAUAGAUGAAAAAACUUGGAACGAUUUAGAAGGAUUUGCUGAUUAAAUAAUUUUCCAAUUUGUUUGCUUGGAGGAAUUGAAUAGUUAACUGAUUAAAGGAUUUCAAGGUGGUUCGGUCCCGCUGGGCAUUGUCAAUAUCAACGGUCAUUAAUUCCUAUUAUCUGAAAUUGAAUUUCCAGUGUGGCAUGGUAACUUUCUGCUAGGGUGUGAUUGUAUAGUAGCCAAUUGUGAGCAACAGAUCCGCAUAGUAAUAUAGAUUGAAAUUUUGCAUCUUAAUCCAUGAAGAUAUAGAUUUUGGCAAUAUUAUACAAGCACUGGGGAUUACCUUAAAUAUUCUGGACUUGUCAUUGAUAGAGUUUCUUUUACCUAGUUAUUGAUAUUUCUUUCAAUUUUCUAUUUUACUCAUACAAUUUAUACAAUUUUAGGUGGCAAGACAACUUUCGUUUUCUAUUGAGCCUGAAAACCUGCAUCUACCAUCACCUCUAUCUGCUUUUCGAGAAUAUGAGGUUCCUAUGCGCUUACCCAAAGCCAUCCCCCUACCGGAAGGAAAGGUCCAAUGGAUUCUCAAUGUUAAAGUCCGCGGCAAAUAAAUAUUUUUUAGUUAAUUUUUUAAUCAAUAAAAAAAGGUAAUUAAAAAUGUAAUUAAUAAAUUACUUAUUAGCAAAUUAAAAAACAAAUAUUAGCAUAAAAUAAUUGAUAUUUCAUUCUCUUACAACAAUCUUACCAAUUAUUAUUUAUAAAUUAAUUAAUGCAAGUUAAUUUAAAGUAAUGUUUAAUAUUCUUGUAACAACCUUACUAAUAAUUUUUUGAUAAAAAAAUUAAUUUAUUAAAUUAAUCCUAGAAGUAAAAUAAUAAUAAUUAAUUUGUAUUUUAUUUUUAAGAUUAAUUUGAUAAAUUUAAUUUUUUUUAACUAAUAUCUCCAAGAAUAUAGUUGUAACGAUAUUAUUACAAAAGGAAAAAAAAUAUAAGAUUAUAAUAUAUUUACCAGUAAGAAUAAUUUAAAAUAUUUUUUAAGAUAUAAAAAUUAAACGGACACUUAAUUAAAAAAAAAAAAAAAAAACUAAAUAAGUAGUUAGCUUUUAACAUUUCAACCUAGUGGUCAUACAAUCAUGGUGCGGCCCGGGAUGGCUGGCCCAGCCCAUCAUGUAAAAAUCCAUGUCACCCUCAUUCUUAAGCUGCUACUCUGCCACUUGCCACGGAGCUCCCCACAUCAUACCGUACCGAUGCCUCUAGAAAGCUAACUUUAAAAAAAUGGUAUUAAUAAGCGUACGCCACGUCACUCCUCACUCUCUUCUUCGUCACUUUCCUCUCACUCAACAUUUUCUCCCCAAACAAAUUCCUUCUUUGAAAAAUCGCAUUUUCUCCUUCACAGCAACCGCUACAAUGUCUUCAACUUCCAAGAAGGUAAUUUUUUUAAAUUUUAUUUUUUGUUUAGUUUCUUUCUGUUGCCUUUUUGUUUCGUUUUUUGAAUUUUCUGUGUCGUUUUUUUUUUCCCAAGGUUUUGGUGCCUGUUGCGAACGGGAGUGAGCCGAUUGAAGCCGUGAUAACGAUCGAUGUUUUGAGAAGGUCUGGAGCUGACGUCACGGUUGCGUCUGUGGAUAAACAGCUUCGUGUCGACGCGUGUCAUGGUGUCAAGAUUGUCGCUGAUGCUCUCGUGUCUGACUGCCGCGACGCUGUUUCUGAUCUUAUAGCUCUGCCCGUAUGUAUUGCAGCUCACCUCAGCUCAUGCUAAUUUAUGUGAUGUUUGUAUAAUUAUAGAUGAUUACUGCUGAUACUGAAUGUUAAAGCUAAAUAAUUCGUUCUUAAGUCAUCUUCAUUUAAUUUUCGAUUGAAAAUGAAAAAAAAAAUAAUUUUAAGCAAAGAAAAUGUUUAUUUUGUUUUAUUUUUAUUUUUAAAUUUUUGGGAUUUCCUUAUUGUGACUGUUGUCAUUCAUUAUAUGGUCCUAGUUAAAUGUUUCAAGUUGUUGUAGUCUGUGAAACUCUUUUCGAUAUUUGUUCUGGCAUGUACAUUUUUCCUUUCAAUUUAUUUUGUUGCUGAUACUUUGAUUAUGAUAUAUCCUUUUUUGUUUCCCUUGUAGGGUGGCAUGCCCGGUGCUACCAAUCUGAAAGAAUCUGAAGUAUUAGAAACCAUUGUGAAGAAGCAGGCUUCAGCUGGGCGUCUUUAUGCUGCUGUCUGUGCUUCACCUGCUGUGGCAUUAGGGUCUUGGGGUCUGUUGAAGGGAUUGAAGGUAAGAAUUAGAUAAGCCUUUUUUUAUGUUUGGUGUUCUUUUGGGAAUUGCAUUGAUAUUUGUGUUAUACAUCAGUUUUGCUCUCACCGAUGAUUGUUAAGUUCUAAUUUAUGGGGUUAUUCAUUUUUUGUAGGCUACUUGUUACCCGUCAUUUAUGGAGCAAUUAGCUCCUGCUUGUGCAGCAACUGUUGAAUCAAGAGUACAGCAGGAUGGUAAAGUUGUUACGAGUCGUGGACCUGGCACUACUAUGGAGUUUGCCAUUGCACUUGUCGAGCAGUUGUAUGGGAAAGAGAGAGCUGAUGAAGUUUCUGGGCCACUGGUAGUAACUUUUAUAGAUAAUGUUGUUUAAAAAAAUUGUGAGUUAUAUAAUUUGUGGAAAUUCAUUCUAAUAGGUUCAUCUAGUAUGUCAAAUUGGAAGGUUCAGAUGCUAAUAUAUUCCAAAAAAUUUGUUCAGGGGAAAAGUAUGACUUUUUGCAUUAGAGAUUCAUUAGAUGAAGUUGUAUACCUGCUGGCCCAUCUUAAUGUGGUGAAAACGAUGUCUGAUGAGACUGAUAUAAUUAUUGGAAUCUUGAUAAAUGCAUUUGUUGAGCUUGAAUGUCUCCACUGAUCACGUUCUUUUUAAUGUAAGUUCUUUCUCUUGGUAUUUGUCUUUGAAUCUUCUCUUCCUCAUGCUUUCGUCUUCACUGUCACCUUGUGCCUAGGUAAUGCGUGCAAAUCAUGGAGAUGAAUACACUAUUGCUGAAUUCAAUCCAAUUCAGUGGACAUUUGACAAUUCUCCCCAAGUAAGAUUUGACUUCUAGUUUCUUGUAGUUGUUUUUCUUCAUCCGAUGUUUUCAGGGAUACCCAUUUGGCAGUAUAUAAAAGUCUGUGAUAUCUUCUAUACAUAUACAUCAUUGGCUUCAGUCAUUUUCGAACAUAUUGGAGGUAGUAGAUGUAUUUUUAUGAUAUCUCUAAUAAAAUCCCAAGUUUGAUCAAUUACAAAAGAAGUAUGAGCGGUGCUGGACCGGGGGGGAAGAAGAAGUGGGGGGUCGGUGUGGUGGGGGUGUGCAGUGCAUGAAUAAAAGGAAAUGAUAGGGGGUGAAAGUUUGUGCUACCGACAUGCUGUAAAAUGGGGACAUAAUAUUUCAAAUUAGAUAUUGUGUGAUCCUUAAUAUUGCUGACUUUUGCUUAAAAUGGAAUUCUUGAUAACUUCAAAUGUUAAAGUUCUUGGUGAAAUUUUGUACUUUCUUUUCUUUCAGAUUCUUGUGCCUAUUGCAAAUGGUUCAGAGGAGAUGGAAGCUGUUAUGAUAAUUGAUAUUCUGCGACGAGCUAAAGCAAAUGUUGUAGUUGCAUCAGUUGAGGAUAAACCAGAAAUUCUGGCUUCUCGUCAAAUUAAAUUAGUGGCAGAUGUGCUCAUUGAUGAGGCGGCUAAACUCUCGUAUGAUUUAAUUGUCUUGCCAGUGAGUUGGGGUGCUUACUGUUGCUUCAUAGUCUUUACCACAUAAUUGACUUACUAACUACAAUUUAUCCAUGCACAUUGCAUAGGGUGGACUUGGUGGCGCUCAAGCAUUUGCGAAGUCAGAGAAAUUGGUGAAUAUGCUAAAGAAGCAAAAGGAAUCAAAUAGACCUUACGGUGCUAUAUGUGCAUCCCCAGCUUUAGUGUUGGAGCCCCAUGGCUUACUCAAGGUACGACCAUUUCUGCUUAAAUUAUUUACUCAGAUUUGGAUCACCUAAUCUGAACUUGAUGAAGGAUUAUGAUGUUGUGUGAUUUUAUGAAUGUGGUCUUAUCUCAUGUAAGUCGGUGAUGAAUUAAUUGAAGUUUGCUGACAAAUUAGAAACUGAAAAACUGCUGCUGCUUCGUUAGUUACAUUACCCAAAGAGUUAAAAUAAACAUCCCAAAUUUUUUGUCCCAAAUUCUGUCCCAAAUGAUAUGGCAUUUAUUGAGUGAUUGUAUUAUCUAACCAACCAAUUGAUGAAUGACACAUCAUUUGAGAUGGUUUUUUGGGAUAAAGAAUUUGGGAUUUUUACCCGCAAAAAUCCCAAGUACUUCCUGCUCCUGCAAUAUCAUUGCUGUGUAUUUGUUUUCCCCUUAGACAUAUUCAAUUGUGGUUCAGGGUAAAAAAGCUACAGCUUUUCCUGUUAUGUGCAACAAGCUGUCAGAUCAGAGUGAAAUCGAAAACAGGGUUGUGGUUGAUGGCAACCUCAUCACCAGUAGAGGGCCAGGAACUUCUAUGGAGUUUGCACUGGCAAUUGUGGAGAAGUUUUUUGGCCGCAACAAGGCACUUGAGCUUGCAAAGAUAAUGCUUUUCACUCGCACCUAACAUUUGUACGGGGACCUGACUACUAUUAAACUAGUGUGUUUAUUUCUGUAUUGCUACUGCUUGUAGAGAGGGGAAAUGGAAACUUGAAUUCAUGUUUGAAUAUGGAUUCACUGUGUGGGUUUGUACAGCAGUUUGAUUUAUAAAUAAAUGAGUUCAAAGAGUUACUUCAAAUAUUCGGAAUAAACCUGAGUUUAGUUCUGUUAUCAAUGGUCGGAGUCCAAUUGCGAUCGACACACUGGGAAUUUUAAUUAUGAACUAAAAAAUUGUUAUGUUAUAUUCCACCUUUCUCAUAAAAUGUUAACUCGAUUUACAGGAUAAGAAGGAAAAGAAAGACGCUAAGAGAGGAGCAGAGACCCAAAAAGAGUUGACCACUUUGUUGGAACAUAAACCUCUAGAAUAUUGAAAUAAAACACAUACCAUAUCUAGUAUUAAGUAUGUAUAUGCAAGAAGAUACAAAUUUGAAGAUCAGAUUUCUCAUUUCAAUUUAUGUUCUGCUUAGAGCAAUGGCUCUUAUUCCACAAGCACAAACAGGAAAGAGUACGCACGAAGUUAAGAAACACACAUUGCAAAAGUUGCAUUAACUACUUGCAGCAGCAUCAUCCAAGAACUUGACUUUAAUCUUCUUGAGCUUCGCUGCGGCAUCUGUCAUAUGCAUUCUCUUGUCAGGUGACUCUAUACAACAAUCCAAAGCCAAAUCCAUGAUGCUUAAUAAACAAUCCAUUUUGGCAGAAAAAGCUUGCUCUUCUCGCACCAAAUUUGCGUCAACAACUUCAGUCAAUCCGUGAGGUAAAGACUCCUUUACCCAUCUCCUUAAACUCAUUUCUCCUGCGAACAUUUCAUCGGUGGGCCUCUUUCUCGUGAAGGUUUCCAUCAAUAAAACACCAUAGCUGUAGACAUCACAUUUAGCUGAAACAAUUCCUUCUGAUCCAUACUCUGCAUUUUUUAAUUUUAAUUAUGAAACAAAUGAUAAAACAAAUAAUUUUUUGAUAAUUAAGGUAACCCAAACUUUGCUCGUGCUUGAAAAAAGAGUAAAAAUUUUAAUUACAAUUGAAACUUUACCUGGUGCCAUAUAACCAAUUGUAGCCAUUGUCAUGGUUUGUGUCACAGAAUCUUCUCCUUCACCUAAGAGUUUGGAAAUGCCGAAGUCGCUCACAUGUGCCACCAUAUUUUCAUCCAAGAGAAUGUUGGUGGGCUUCAAAUCACAAUGAAUUAUAGGUGCCGACGAAUGACCAUGAUGGAGAUAUUCAAGGGCCGACCCCACAUCUAUCAUUAUGUUCAACCUCUCUAGGAUGUCUAAGAAAUAGUUGUGAGAAUAUAACCACUUCUCGAGACUACCAUUUGGCAUGAACUCAAGUACCAAUGCUUUAAAAUCUUGAUUAGAACAACUGCUAAGGAUCUUUAUGAGAUUUCGAUGACGAACAUUCAGUAAAACUUCACAUUCAGAAUCAAAACUCCUAAAUGCUCUCUCUAGUUGCAGAUUGAAAACCUUUAUCGCAACAUCAGUCCCGUCGGAAAUGGUUCCUUUAUAAACUGAUCCAAAGCUACCUGUACCAAGCAAGUUACAUUCAUUAAAUUCAUCAGUUGCUCGUUGAAUGUCUAGGUAGGAUGUUCUUCUCCAUGUUGCAAGAGGUAGGAAAUCUUCGUGAUCUGAUUUUUUUGUACUCCUCUUUCGGCAUCUUAUGUACAUAAUGAUGAUAAUCACUAUAAGUACAGAGGAUACUAUCGGAGGCAAAAUAUAUUUAAGGACAAUUAGAGCAACGUUUUUGGUGCUUUUGCUGUCACCUUGUUUGCAAGGUGGGACUCGGAAUUUAGGUGGACCACAGAGUGCAUAAUUUCCGAAAAAUGAUUCAGCUGACAAGUUUUUAAAAGACCCCUUAACAGGAAUUUCCCCUUCUAGCCUAUUAUGAGACACAUUAAAUUGUUUGAGAUGUGAAAGUGUCUCCAAUGACUUAGGAAUUUUUCCAGAGAGAUUGUUGCCAGAGAGAUCUAAGGAUUCUAAGCUUAUCAAACUACCAACUGAUUCAGGAAUAGGUCCUUGAAAUUGAUUACUAGCCAAUGAUAGAGUUUCUAUAUCUUUGAGGGCACCGAUGGUUGAUGGAAUAUCACCUGAUAAUUGAUUCCUUGAUAAAUCUAAAACUCUCAAGACCUUUAACUUUUGUACAUUGGAAGGGAGAGAAUCAUUUAACGAAUUUGACGACAAGUUUAUCUCUAAGAUGUACUCAAGGCUCCACAAGGAUGACGGUAUACUAGAAGUGAGCUUGUUGGAGCCUAAGUGGAGUUCUCUUAGAGAUGUCAGACUCGCCAAGCAUGGUGGUAUAUGUCCAGAGAGCUUAUUUCCAUUUAACAUUAUUCCGUACAUCAACUCCAAGUGGCAAAGAUCAUAGGGAAUGGAUCCUUCCAAAUUAUUUUCUUCAAGAGAUAAACCUUGUAGCCGCUUAAGUCUUCCCAUCGUUGGUGAAAUAGUUCCAUUCAAGUCAUUGAAGCCGAGGCUUAAGAGGAUCAGGCCACGCAACUUACCAAUUUCUUUAGGAAUGCUGCCCCCGAGUUUGCAGUUGGAUGCAUAAAAUUGUCGAAGAGAAGCAGAGAAAUUUCCAAUUACUGGUGGAAGGAUGCCACCCAAUGGAUUAUAAGCUAAGGCUAAAACUGUUAAAUUUCUGCAAUUAGUCAGAGAAGAGAGAAAACUCCACUGAUCUGCUGAAGAUGAUUCUGUCGUCAAGUUAUUAAAUGCUAAGCCAAGCACGCCGAGGUGUCUCAAGUUGCCAAAUGUAUUUGGAAUAUGGCCUGAGAAUGAGUUAAAGCUCAAUUCUAGGCCAAUGAGUUUAGAAGCGUUUGUGAUGGAGUUGGGAAUUUUUCCGGUAAGGUUAUUGGCCGCCAAGGUUAAAUACUCUAUGCUCGGAAGCGAGUGGCCAAUCGUUGAUGGUAAGUGGCCUGAAAGUUGAUUGCUAAUUAGAUUAAGGACUGUUAGGGUUGAAAUGUUGAAGAUUGUGGGUGGAAUGGGGCCACUUAAAUUAUUCGCACUAAGAACAAGGGUAUCCAAAUUUUGUAGAUUGCCAAUCUCAGUUGGAAUUUGACCUGUCAUAAAGAUAAACGCCAAAUUGAUGAGUUAUUGAGCUUUUUACUUAACAUAAAUUUUAAUUUCAUAACGCAUGAAAAUCAAAUUUGCCCACAAAAUGUGUGUUAUUAGUUUUAUAAUUUUUUUUUGGGUUUUUUUUGGGGGGGGGGGGGGGGAGAUUGAUAUUGCUACCUCAUAAUUUUUGUAAAACCCCACCCGCUUUCAGAGAAUUAUUGGAACAAGAUUCUUAAAAAAAUUCAAAUAAAGAAGAAGUUUGGAGAAAUAAUCAAUUAAAUCCAUCUUAAUAUACUUUUUGAAACUUAUAUUCUUUUAUCAUAUAUAAUAACUAAGGUUGCUUUAACAUAAAUUUAAUAUAACUAGUCUACUCUCAUAAGGUAGAAUUACUAAAAUACCCACAAAUUUACUUCAACUUCAACUAAACUAACAAAAUGUAUUUGUUGACAUGUGGGGAACUAAAAAUUAUUGAAUUUUAUUUUAGAAAUAUUGUAUUACAAAACAUAAAACAAAAUGCCGAAACUAUAUAUUAGAUACAAUAGUACAUGUUUUUCGGGGUAAUUUGGUCAUUUUAUAUUAUAAGAGUAAAAUAGUCAAAUUAAACUUAUUUUAAAGCAACCGUAAACGGUCAAAGAUUGUUAAAAGCCCUAAGUCAUAAAAGAAAAACAUUAUAAAAAUAAUUUAUUAAUUGUUCAGACUUAAUUUAUAAUUUUAUAACAUAAUGUGAACUUAUUAUAACUAUCUUUUCAAAAUGAGGUGGGUUUGCAAGAAUAAUGAGUGGAAAUAUCCCCACCCUAUAAAAUAAAAAGAAUUUUGCAGCUAUGCAAAUGCAAAUAUGUAGAACGUACCUUGUAGGUUGUUAUAACCUAGAUUCAGAAUGAAAAGGCUGCUAAAAUUUCCUAUCCCUGAAGGAAUAUUUCCAUCAAUAACGUUGUAGAUUGCGUCGAACACCUCCAGCUUCGAUAAAUUGAGGAGAGAAUUUGGGAUUGGACCCGUGAAACUGUUAUUAUAAAGCCUCAACGUUUGUAAUUUGGAUAAGACACCAAUCCAUGUUGGAAUGCUUCCACUCAAUUUAUUGAAACCGAAUCUAAUGAAUCUGAGUCGGCGUAAUUGCCCCAAUUCAUUAGGCAGAUGGCCAUGAAAAUUAUUAUGAGCAACAUCAAGAGAUACUAAGAACGUGAGAUUUCCCAAGUGUAGUGGAAUGGUGCCUCCGAGACCCAUAUCUGAAAGAUUCAAGGCAGUGACUCUUUGAUGGCGUGAACCACAAGAGAUACCAACCCAGCUACAUAUUGGAUAAGAUAUAGACCAAUUAUUUGUCAGAUCACUUCGAUAAUCAACGACACGGGCUUUGAAUGCAAGAAGAGCCGAUUGAUCUGUUGUUAAGUUGCUCAAAGUCGUCAUAGCUAAGCUAGCUAUGGAAUAUUGUACCAACAACAUAGGAACAAAGAAGAAUGAUAAGCACAUAUUGGUCGUUUUUUUUUAUAGAUGCAGCAAUCUAAUUGCUAGGUGAAGUUGAUACAAGUUUUAAGUGAAGGAAACUAGCAUAUACUUAUACAAGAGACGUAUGAAUUUGAAAACAAGAAAAGAAAAAAAUGUACAGGAGAGUGGAGACAUGCAAAUUGGUAUAUUUCAUCAUUGAGCGAGUCGUCCAAGUAAACUCAUACAGACCUGUAAAUUGUUAUAGGCCGCGGUACUUGAACCGUGAAUAAAGGGCUUAUGGCACUUGACUUACCAAAAAGAAGAAGAUGCUCAACAUUGGCAAGGCCUAUGCAUUCUGUCCAUUUGUUCACGUUUUGCCAAGGCUCAGGGCAACCACAAUAUGUUCUUUUUCUUCCCUCUUAAAACAAAAAACAAAAAAAAAAGACGACAUUUACAUUUGGGCUAAUAAUUAUAACUAAACAAUUAAUAAUACUGAGGGUCAGUGGUAAUGUAGCUUUAAAAUAAUUGUUAUUAGUUGUGUCUUAAAAAUAAAGAAAAAAAAUAACUAUACCCAUAUAAUUAAUAAAAUAAUCAUGUAAAUUCCUAAGCUUUUAACAAUAUACACCAAGACCCCCUACCGUUACUUUUUACCAUUUAUUUGGAUGUCACAUGCUUUUUUUUUUUAAUUUUCACAGUGGAUAUCAAAUGCUAAAUUUACUGUUAUUCCCAUAUCAUGUCAUCACUUGCUUCUACACACAUUGAUUGUUUUUCCAAAGUUUCAAAUUGAAUUAAAAACAUUCUAAUUAACCUAAAAAAAACUCAUCCAACCAGAUAUAAAUCAUCUAAUUAACCUAAAGAUAGCUACACCCCCAUAUUAAUUCCAAUUAAAUAAAAUUCAUUUUUGUCAUGAUUUUGGAUCUCGAGCAGGGUGGAUAUAUCCAACUAGAUCCGCCCCAUUGGCAUUCCAGUAUAUUCUGUAAUUGGAAGAGUAUGAAUGACUUAAUUUGUAAUUUUAAAUUUGUAACGUUCAAUUCUAAUUUGAGGAUUCAAAUGAAUUUAUGCGAAUCUAAAAGGGGACUGAAGAUUGGCAUGCAUACAUGCAUACAUAUACAUAUAUAUAUAAAUAGAGAGAGAGAGAGAGAGAGAGAGAGAGAGAGGUAAUAUAACAUUCUUCUUGAUGAAGAUUUUUGUGCCAUACGAAUUAAAGAGAGUAUUGUGUCGAUGUUCGAGGCUAGAGCGACAAUUGGUUACAUUGCUUCAGAGGUGUUUAGUAGAAACUUUGGUGAGGCAUCACAUAAUUUAAAUUACUAGAUUUAGCGAGAUAUAUAUAUUUUCCACAUUGGAUUUACAAGCAUUUCGAGCAGUAUAAUGAAUUAAAAUUACUCGGAAUUGUAAACAGCGAGGAAAGUGAAAUUGCUAAGAAGAUGAAUAUUUUGUUGUUUUGUGGUGUACACGGACUCGUCCAUCGGAUAGGUCGCCCAUGAACAGAGGGAUAGAAAUGUUAUUGCCAAGAAGCAGACUGACUAGCAGUGACGCUUUGAAAAGUCCACCGGACAUCGUCUCCUCCAAGACCACCAAUAGAUUCUUCCACCAUUUCAACGUCGUGACGUGGGGAUCGGAAUUGAAUUAUAGGAUGCUUGUAAGUUUCCUUUGUGGAACUUGUGAAUUUGUGAUGGCAAAAGUCAAUGAUGCAUGUAACUAGCUAGCCCGUGUAGACUCCGUUUUACACUUUUUCAAAACCCAAAAGCACGCUAAAUCUUAAUCUUAAAAGAAUUUUUGAUUCAGUGCUGAAUUUUGGGCUUAUCUUUAAGUAAUCUUUUACCACGCAUGCAUUUUUGUCAUUGUGCAGUCAUCGAUUGCUUCUAAAGAUCGUAAUCCUUAAGAAAAAAUUACUUCUCUUGAAAGUGAAAGCAGGGCAGCUAUUGGCGUAUUGCAUUGCAGCUGCUAUGUGUAGUAGUCAAUUCUUGGAAACAACUAGUUUUCUUAAAUUGUAAACGGUCCCCUUUAUGACUGGGAGAUUUUGAACAAAAUUAAUAUGACGAAUUCUUUGCAGGUGUUGUUCCUUGAAGUCUCAUCUUUCACAAUGUUUCUGAAAUAAAGAUAUUACCAUCUCUGAUUUAAUAUUUAUUCUUGAUUUGUACCACCUAAUCUGAACUUGAUGAAAGAAUAAAGAUUAUGAUCUUGCCUGAUUUUAUUAAUGUGGUCUUAUCUCACGUAAGUCAGUAAUGAAUUAAGGAAAAUUAUCAUUCGUAUACCCUAUAAUUGCUCUGUUAUAAAAAAUACUACAACACUUUGAGGGUGUAUCAAUUGUCCACCCUAAGUUAACAAAAUGUAUCUGUCAUCCACCAAACCGUUAUUUGCCGUUUAAAUAGAAUGACACCAGAGGGGUAAUUUUAUCUUUUCAUAUGAUACAAGUGAUAAUUUAAGGGUAUACAAGUGAUAAUAAAAGAAUUUAAAGGUAUACAAGUGAUAAUUUUAUUUACUUUAAUUUAAGUUUCAAGGGUAAAAUCGUCAAUUCACUAUAAUUCCGUUAACUUUCAAACGGUAGCUAACGGUUUGGUGGUCGGCAGAUAGCUUUUGUUAAUUUAAGGUGGACGAUUGAUAUACUCUCAAAGUGUUGUAGUAUUUUUGAUAAUAGAGCAACUAUAGGAUAUAUGAUUGAUAAUUUCCCAUGAAUUAAUUAAAGUUUACUGUCAAAUUACAAACACAAAAACUGCUGCUGCUUCAUUAUUCACAAUACCUAAAGUCAGUGCAGAACUUAAUAAGUUUUCCAAAAGUUUUACGCUUUCUUUCCCCCAAAUCCCAAGUACUUACUAGAUAUGUCAUGUUUAUACCCAAAGUCAGUGCAGAACUUACUCGAUAUGUCAUGUUUACACAAGAGUUUGUUUAUAAAUAAAUGAGUUGACAAAUAUUUGCCAAAAAAAACGGUGAGUGAUGUCUAGUUCUAUUUUCACAGUUCAGAGUCCAAUUUUGAUUACUGGAAAUUUUAAUUAUGAAGUUGAACUAAGAAUUUGUUAUAAUAUCUUCAACCUUCCUAUACAGUCAUCUGGAAUAAUAAUAUAUCAAAAACAGUAAUAACUCGAUUUACAGGGUGAGAAAGAAAAGAAAGACGCUACGAGGGAAGCAGAGAUUCAAAGACUUCGCCACUUUGUUGGAGGAACAAUUUCAUAAAUCUCCAGAAUAUUGACAUAAAACACAUAACAUACAUAUCUAGCAUUAAGUAUAUUUAUGUAUGUCCAAAGAUAAAAAUUUGAAGAUUAAAUUUAUCAUUUCAAUUUAUGUUCUGCCCAAAGCAAUGGCUUUUAUUCCACAAGCACAAACAAGAAAGAGUACGCACAAAGUUAACAAACACACAUAGCAAACGUGACAUCAACCACUUGCAGCAGCAUCAUCCAGAAACUUCACUCUAAUCUUCUUGAGCUUUUCAGCGGCGUCUUUCGUAGAUGCCCCCUGUUCUGGUGAUUCCAUGCAACAAUCCAAUGCCGAAUGCAUGAUGCUUAAUAAACAAUUCAUUUUAGGAGAAAAAACUUGCUCUUCUCUCACCAAGUUUGCAUCGACAACAUCACUCAAGGCACGAGGUAAUGACUCCCUUACCCAGUCUCUUAAACUUAUUUCUCCUGUAAACAUUUCAUUUGUGGGAUUCUUUCUGGUGAAAGUUUCCAUCAAUAAAACACCAUAACAAUAGACAUCACCUUUGGCCGAAAUCAUUCCUUCUAAUCCUUACUCUGCAUUUUUUUGGUUUCGAUAGAUCAAAUGGAUGUGACAUCAUAAAACAAAUGAUAAACAAAUAGUCUUUUGACAGUCAAGAUGGCCCAAACUUUGACUGUGCUUCGAAAAGAGCGAAAAUUUGAAAUUAUAAUUGAAACCUUACCUGGUGCCAUAUAACCAGUUGUAGCCACUGUCAUGAUUUGGGUCACAGAAUUUUCUUCAUCACCUAAGAGUUCGGAAAUGCCGAACUCACAUGUGCCACCAUAUUUUCAUCCAAGAGAAUGUUGCUAGGCUUCAAAUCACAAUGAAUUACAGGUGCUGAUGAAUGAUCGUGAUGGAGAUAUUCAAGUGCCAGCCGCACAUCUAUCAUUAUAUUCAACCUCUCUAGGAUAUCUAGGAAAUAGUUGUGUGAACACAACCAUUUCUCAAGACUACCAUUGAGCAUGAACUCAAGCACCAGUACUUUAGAAUCUGGAUUGCAACAGCUGCUAGUGAUCUUUGUGAGAUCUUGAUGACGAACAUUCCACAAUACUUCACAUUCAGAAUCAAAACUCCUAAAGGCUCUCUCUAGCUGCAGAUUGAAAACCUUUAUUACAAUAAUAGUCACAUCAUAAAGUGUGCCUUUAUAAACAGAUCCGAAGCUCUCCAUACCUAGCAGGAUACAUUCACUAAAUCCAUCAGCUGCUCGUUGAAUAUCAUGAUAGGAUAGUCUUCUCCAUGUUGUCGAAGAGAACAAAUCUUCUUUAUCUGGAGUUCUUGUUUUCCUAUUUUGAAAUAUUAUGAAGAAUCAUAACAAUUGUUAUUAGUGCAUUGGAUAUAAUCGAAGGCAAAGUAUAUUUCAGGACAAGCAGAGUAGCAUUCUUGGAUCCUUUGCUAUUAUCUUCUUUGCAAGGUGGGACUUGAAGGCCUGGUGGACCACAUAGUGCAUAAUUCUCAAAAAACGAUUGAGCUGAAAUGUUUUUAAAAGGUCCUUUGAUAGGAAUUCCCCCUUCUAGCCUAUUGUGAGACACAUUAAGUUGUUUGAGAUAUGAGAGUGCCUCCAUUGACUUUGGAAUUUCUCCAGAGAGAUUGUUGCUAGGGAGAUCCAAAGAUUCCAACCUUAUCAAACUACCAAAUGAUUUAGGGACCAGACCAUAAAAUUGGUUUCUAGCCAAGGACAAAGUUGCUAGAUCUUUGAGGCCACCAAUACUUACUGGUAUAUCACCUGAUAAUUGAUUUCUUGAUAAAUCAACUCUAUUAAGACCUUUAAGUUUUGUACAUCUGAAGAUAGAUGACCACUUAGAGAAUUUGUUGACAAGUUUACAUACAAGAUGUACUCAAGAUUCCACAAGGAUGAUGGGAUACUAGAAGUGAGCGUGUUGCAGCUUACAAAGAGUGUUUUUAAGGAAUUGAAUAUCUGAAAUCUUGUAUGUAAAUAUUAACACUUAGAGAAUUUGUUGACAAGUUUUUAAGGAUUUACUGAUUAAAUAAUUUUCCAAUUUGUUUGCCUGGAGGAAUUGAAUAGUUAACUGAUUAAAGGAUUUCAAGGUGGUUAGGUCCAGCCGAGCAUUGUAAAUAUUAACGGUCAUUAUGAAUGUGUAAUUCCUAUAUGUGAAAUUGAAUUUCCAUGGUAAAUUUCUGCUAGGGUGUGAUUGUAUGGUAGCCAAUUGUGAGCAACAGAUCCACAUAGUAAUAUAGACUGAAAUUUUGCGUCUUAAGCCAUGAAGAUAUAGAUUUUGGCAAAUAUUAUACAAGCAUUGUUUGCAACACCACAGCUAAUUUGCAGUAGGAUGAAACACUCAGAAUUUUGCCUUUUUCAUGUAUAAAAUUUUAUUUUUUUAAUUGUGAUAUUACAGUUUUGCCCAUCAAGCAUUAUGAAGCUUAAUAUUUGGAUAAAUGUUAGGUUUAAUCUAUAAAUUUUAACUUCAGUGUUUAUUUAGUUUUUAUAUUUUGUAAAAUAUCUCAAGGCAGCCCUAUUAUCAAAUAUUGGCUUGAUCCGUAUAUAUUAACUUCAGUGCUUUAUUUAGGUUUUAUAUUUUGAAAAAUACUUUAAGGCAGUUCUAUUAUCAAAUAUGUUAUGCUCUUGCUUUUAUUUUUUCUUUGUUUUUAUAAUAAUACUCUGAUAACAAUAUUUUUUUACAUUAAUUUUUUAAUCAAUAAAAAGGUAACUAGCAAAUUAACUGAUAAAUUAAUUUGUUAAUUUUUUUAAUCAAUAAAAAAUUUAAUUAAUAAAUUACUUGGUAGCAAAUUAAAAAAUAAAUAUUAGCAUAAAACAAUUGAUAUUUUUCAUUCUCUUACAACAAUCUUACUAAUAAUUUUUUUAUAAAAAAUUAAUUUAUUAAAUUAAUCCUUAAAAGUAAAAUAAUAAUAAUUAAUUUGUAUCUUAGUUUUAAAGUUAAUUUGAUAAAUUCAAUUUUUUAAUUAAUAUCUCCAAAAAUAUAGUUGCAACGAUAUUAUUGCAAAAGUAAAAAAAAAAAUAUAUAUAGAAUUUUAAUAUAACUGCCAGUAAAAAUAACUUGAAAUAUUUUUUAAGAUAUAAAAAUUAAACCAACACUUAAUUAAAAAUAUAAAGAAUUAAAUAAACAUUUAUCUUCUAACAUUUCAACCUACUGGCUAAUGGUCAUACAAUCGUGGUGUGGUCCGGGAUGCCCGGCCCAGCCCAUCAUGCAAAAAGCCAUGUCACCCAUAUUCUUAGGCUGCUACUGCAUUAAAAAAAUGAUAUUAAUAAGCGUACGCCACGUCACUCCUCACUCUCUUCUUCGUCACUUUCCUCUCACUCAACAUUUUCUCCCCAAACAAAUUCCUUCUUUGAAAAAUCGCAUUUUCUCCUUCACAGCAACAGCUACAAUGUCUUCAACUUCCAAAAAGGUGAUUUUUUUUUAAUUUUAUUUUUUGUUUAGUUUCUUUCUGUUGCCUUUUUGUUUCGUUUUUUGAAUUUUCUGUGUCGUUUUUUUCCCCCAAGGUUUUGGUGCCUGUUGCGAACGGGAGUGAGCCGAUUGAGUCCGUGAUAACGAUCGAUGUUUUGAGAAGGUCUGGAGCUGACGUCACGGUUGCGUCUGUGGAGAAACAGCUCCGUGUCGACGCGUGUCAUGGUGUCAAGAUUGUCGCUGAUGCUCUCGUGUCUGACUGCCGCGACGCCGUUUUUGAUCUUAUAGCUCUUCCCGUAUGUAUUGCAGCUCUCCUCAGCUCGUGCUAAUUUAUGUGAUGUUUGUAUAAUUAUAGAUGAUUACUGCUGAUACUGAAUGUUAAGCUAAAUAAUUCGUUCUUAAGUCAUCUUCAUUUAAUUUUCGAUUGAAAAUGAAAAAAAUAAUAAUUUUAAGCAAAGAAAAAUAUAGAAAAUGUUUAUUUUGUUUAAUUUUCAAUUUUUAAUUUUCAGGGAUUUCAUUAUUGUGACUGUUAUCAUUCAUUAUAUGGUCAUAGUUAAAUGUUUCAAAUUGUUGUAGUCAGUGAAAUUCUUUUCGAUAUUUAUUCUGGCAUGUAUAUUUUUCCUUUUCAAUUUCUUUUGUUGCUGAUUCUUUGAUUAUGUUAUAUCCUUUUUUGUUUCCCUUGUAGGGUGGCAUGCCCGGUGCUACCAAUCUGAAGGAAUCUGAAGUAUUAGAAAGCAUUGUGAAGAAGCAGGCCUCAGCUGGGCGUCUUUAUGCUGCUGUCUGUGCUUCACCUGCUGUGGCAUUAGGGUCUUGGGGUCUGUUGAAGGGAUUGAAGGUAAGAGUUAGAUAAGCCUUUUUGAUGUUUUGUGGUCUUUUGGGAAUUGCACUGAUAUUUUUGUUAUGGUUCAGUUUUCUUCUCGCUGAUGAUUGUUAAGUUCUAAUUUAUGUAGUUGUUCAUUUUUCCUAGGCUACUUGUUAUCCGUCAUUUAUGGAGCAACUAGCUCCUGCUUGUGCAGCAUGUUGAAUCAAGAGUACAGCAGGAUGGUAAAGUUGUUACGAGUCGUGGACCGGGCACUACCAUGGAGUUUGCCGUUGCACUUGUUGAGCAGUUGUAUGGGAAAGAGAAAGCUGAUGAAGUUUCUGGGCCACUGGUAUUAGCUUUUAUAGAUAACGUUGUUUAAAAAAAUUAUGAGUUAUAUAAUUUGUGGAAGCUUCAGAUGCUAAUGUAUUCAAGAAAAUAAGUUCAGGGGAAGAGUAUGACUUUUUGCAUUAGUGAUUCAUUAGAUGAAAUUGUAUACCUGCUGGUCCAUCAUAAGGUGGUGAAAACAAUGUUUGAUUUAAUUAAUGAAAUCCUGAAAUAUGCAUUUGUUGAGCUUCAAUGUCUCCACUGAUAAAAUUCUUUUUAAUGUAAGUUCUUUCUCUUGGUAUUGUAUUUGAAUUUUCUGUUCCUCAUGCUUUCGUCUUUACUGUCACCUUGUGCCUAGGUAAUGCGUGCAAAUCAUGGAGAUGAAUACACUAUUGCUGAGUUCAAUCCAAUUCAGUGGACAUUUGACAAUUCUCCUCAGGUGAGAUUGGACUGUUAGUUUCUUGUAUUUGUUUUUCUUCUUCCAUGUUUUGAGGGAUACCCAUUUGGCAGUAAAUAAAAAUCUGUGAUAUCUUCUAUACAUGUACAUAUACAUCAUUGACUUCACUCAUUUGUGAACAUAUUGGAGGUAGUAGAUUUAUUGUUAUGAUAUGUCUAAUAAAAUCCAAAGUUCGAUGCAACUACAAAAGAAGUAUGAGCAGUGCUCGACCAGAGAGGAAAAAGGUGGUUUUUUUCUUUUUUUUUUUUGGGGGGGGGGGGGGGGUUGGUUGGGUGGCAAAGGGAAUGAUAAGUUCAGGGUAUCAACAAGCUGUAAAAUGGCUAUCGAAAAACUGAUAUUUCACAUUAGAGAAUGUGAGGACCUGAAGAUUGCUGACUUGUGGUCAAAAUGGAAUUCUUGAUAACUUUAAAUGUUAAAAAUUCUUGGUGAAAAUUUUGUACUUUUUUUUCUUUCAGAUUCUUGUGCCUAUUGCGAAUGGUUCAGAGGAGAUGGAAGCUGUUAUAAUAAUUGAUAUUCUGCGACGAGCUAAAGCAAAUGUUGUGGUUGCGUCAGUUGAGGAUAAACUAGAAAUUCUGGCUUCUCGUCAAGUUAAAUUAGUGGCAGAUAUGCUUAUUGAUGAGGCAGCUAAACUUUCGUAUGAUUUGAUUGUCUUGCCAGUAAGUGGGGUUGCUAACUCUUGCCUCAUAGUCUUUACCAAAUUAUUGACUUACUAGCUACAAUUUAUCUAUGCACAGGGUGGACUUGGUGGUGCUCAAGCAUUUGCGAAGUCAGAAAAAUUGGUAAAUAUGCUAAAGAAGCAAAAGGAAUCAAAUAGACCUUACGGUGCUAUAUGUGCAUCCCCAGCACUAGUGUUGGAGCCCCAUGGCUUACUCAAGGUAUGACCAUUUCUGCUUAAAUAUUUAUUCUUGAUUUGAAUCACCUAAUCUGAACUUGAUAAAACAUUGUGAUCUUGUGUGAUUUUAUGAACGUGGUCUUAUCUCAUGUAAGUCUGUAAUGAAUUUAUUGAAGUUUGCUGACAAAUUACAAACUCAAAAACUGCUGCUGCUUCAUUAGUUACAGUACCCAAGGAGUUAUGAUAGACAUCCCAAACUUUUUACCCCAAAUUCCCUCUCAAAUGACAUGGUAGUUAUUAAGUGGUUGGUAAUUUUUUAUAAGAUAUAAGUGAAUUAAUUAAUUAUAUUAUUUAAUCAACCAAUUGAUGAAUGUCACGCCAUUUGAGAUGAAUUUUUGGGAUGUGUAGCAAAACUUUAUGCUGAUUUGUUUUGGCUACAUUCAUGUAAAACAUUUUUCCCCAAAUCCCAAGAACUUCCCGCAAUAUCAUUCCUUUGUAUUUGUUUUCCCCUUUAGACAUGUUUAACUUUGGUUCAGGGUAAAAAGGCUACGGCUUUUCCUGCCAUGUGCAACAAGCUAUCAGAUCAAAGUGAAAUCGAAAACAGGGUUGUGGUUGAUGGCAACCUUAUCACCAGCAGAGGGCCAGGAACUUCCAUGGAGUUUGCACUGGCAAUUGUGGAGAAGUUUUUUGGCCGCAACAAAGCACUUGAGCUUGCAAAGAUAUUGCUUUUCACCCGCACCUAAAAUUUGUACCAGGACCCGACUAAUAUUAAACUAGAGUGUUUAUUUCUGUAUUACUACUGCUUGUAGAGAGGCGAAAUGGAAACUUGAAUUCAUGUUUGAAUAGGGAUUCACUGUGCGGGUUUGUACAAGAGCUUGUUUAUAAAUAAAUGAGUUCAUAAAGAGUCAUUUUAAAUAUUUGGAAUAAACGUGAGUUGCUGUUUAGUUCUGUUUUCAAUGUUCACCGUUCAAUUGUGAUCCAGAGCAAUAUAACUACACUCACUGGGAAUUUUAAUUAUGAACCAAGAACGAAGUUGAACCGAGAAUUUGAUACUUUAUAUAUUCCAGUUACCAUAUUUAAGAAAGAGUAUUGAAAAGAAAGACGCUAAGAGAGAAUAUUGAAGUUAAACAGAUACCAUAUCUAGUAUUAAGUCUGUAUGCCAAAGUUACAAAUUCGAAGAUCAGAUUCCUCAUUUCAAUUUAUGUUCUGCUCAAAACAAUGGCUCUUAUUCCACAAGCACAAACAAGAAAGAGUACGAACAAAGUUAACAGAGACACGCAGUGAAAAUUACGCUAAUUGGUUGCAGCAGCAUCAUCCAGGAACUUCACUUUAAUCCUCUUGAGCUUUGCUGCAGCGUCUGUCAUAUUUAUCCUCAUGUCGGGUGACUCCAUACAACAAUCCAAUGCCAAAUCCAUUAUGCUUAAUAUACAAUCCAUUUUGGCAGAAAAAGCUUGCUCUUCUCGCACCAAAUUUGCGUCAACAACUUCACUCAAUCCGUGAGGUAAUGACUCCUUUACCCAUGUCCUUAAACUCGUUUCUCCUGUGAACAUUUCAUCGGUGGGCCUCUUUCUCGUGAAAGUUUCCAUUAAUAAAACACCAUAGCUGUAGACAUCACAUUUAGCUGAAACAAUUCCUUCUGAUCCAUACUCUGCAUUUUUUUUAAUUUCAAUUAUGAAACAAAUGAUAAAACAAAUAAGUUUUUGAUAAUUAAGGUAACCCAAACUUUGCUCGUACUUGAAAAAAGAGUAAAAAUUUUAAUUACAAUUGAAACUUUACCUGGUGCCAUAUAACCAAUUGUAGCCAUUGUCAUGGUUUGUGUCACAGAAUCUUCUUCUUCACCUAAGAGUUUGGAAAUGCCGAAGUCGCUCACAUGUGCCACCAUAUUUUCAUCCAAGAGAAUGUUGGGAGGCUUCAAAUCACAAUGAAUUAUAGGUGCCGACGAAUGACCAUGAUGGAGAUAUUCAAGAGCCGACCCCACAUCUAUCAUUAUAUUCAACCUCUCUAGAAUGUCUAAGAAAUAGUUGUGAGAAUACAACCACUUCUCGAGACUACCAUUUGGCAUGAACUCAAGUACCAAUGCUUUAAAAUCUGGAUUAGAACAACUGCUAAGGAUCUUUAUGAGAUUUCGAUGACGAACAUUCUGUAAAACUUCACAUUCAGAAUCAAAACUCCUAAAUGCUCUCUCUAGUUGCAGAUUGAAAACCUUUAUCGCAACAUCAGUCCCGUCGGAAAUGGUUCCUUUAUAAACUGAUCCAAAGCUACCUGUACCAAGCAAGUUACAUUCAUUAAAUUCAUCAGUUGCUCGUUGAAUGUCUAGGUACGAUGUUCUUCUCCAUGUUGCAAGAGAUAGGAAAUCUUCGUGAUCUGAUUUUCUUGUACUUCUAUUUCGGCAUCUUCUGUACAUAAUGAUGGUAAUCACUAUAAGGACCGUGGAUACUAUCGGAGGCAAAAUAUAUUUAAGGACAAUUAGAGCAACUUUCUUGGUUCUUUUGCUGUUAUCUUGCUUGCAAGGUGGGACUCGAAGUUUAGGUGGACCACAGAGUGCAUAAUUUCCAAAAAAUGAUUCAGCUGACUAGUUUUUAAAAGACCCCUUAACAGGAAUUUCCCCUUCUAGCAUAUUUUGAGACACAUUAAAUUGUUUGAGAUGUGAAAGUGCCUCCAAUGACUUAGGAAUUUUUCCAGAGAAAUUGUUGCCGGAGAGAUCUAAGGAUUCUAAGCUUAUCAAACUGCCAACUGAUUCAGGGAUAGGUCCUUGAAAUUGAUUACUAGCCAAGGAUAGAGUUUCUAGAUCUACGAGGGCACCAAUGGUUGAUGGAAUAUUACCUGAUAAUUGAUUCCUUGAUAAAUCUAAAACUCUCAAGACCUUUAACUUUUGUACAUUGGAAGGGAGAGAAUCAUUUAAUGAAUUUGACGACAAGUUUAUCUCUAAGAUGUACUCAAGGCUCCACAAGGAUGACGGUAUACUAGAAGUGAGCUUGUUGGAGCCUAAGCGGAGUUCUCUUAGAGAUGUCAAACUCGCCAAGCAUGGCGGUAUAUGUCCAGAGAGCUUAUUUCCAUUUAACCUUAUUCCGUACAUCAACUCCAAGUGGCAAAGAUCAUAGGGAAUGGAUCCUUCCAAAUUAUUGUCUUCAAGAGAUAAACCUUGUAGCUGCUGUAAUGUUCCUACAGAUGUUGGAAUAGUUCCGUUCAAGUCAUUGAAGUCGAGGGUUAAGAGGAUCAAGCCACGUAAAUUACCAAUUUCUUUAGGAAUGCUGCCCCCGAGUUUGCACUCGUAAGCAUAAAAGCUUUGAAGAGAAGCAGAGAAAUUUCCAAUUAAUGGUGGAAGGAUGCCACCUAAUGGAUUAGAAUCUAAGACUAAAUAGGAUAGCUUUCUACAAUUAGUCAAAGAAGAGAGAAAACUCCACUGAUCUGCUGAAGAUGAUUCUGUCGUCAAGUUAUUCGUUCGUAUGCUGAGCACGUUGAGGUGCCUCAAGUUGCCAAAUGUAUUUGGUAUAUGGCCUGAGAAUGAGUUAGAGCCCAAGUCUAGACCAAUGAGUUUGGAAGCAUUGGUAAGAGAGUCAGGAAUUGUCCCGAUAAGAUUAUUGAUCGCCAAGGUUAAAUACUCUAUGUUCGGAAGCGAGUGGCCUAUCGUUGAUGGUAGGCGGCCUGAGAAUUGGUUGCUGUGUAGAUUAAGGACUCUUAUGGUUGAAAUAUUGAAGAUCGCGGGUGGAAUGAGGCCACUUAAAUUAUUCGUACCAAGAGCAAGACUCUCCAAAUUUUGUAGAUUGCCAAUCUCGGUUGGAAUUUGAUCUGUCAUAUCGAUUAAACCAACAUUGAUGAGUUAUUGAAUUUUUUGCUAAACAUAAAUUUAAUUUCAAAAUUCAUGAAAAUCAAAAUUUCCCACAAAAUAUGUGUUAUUAGUUUUAUAAUAAUUUAGGGGGUAAUGAUAUUUCUACCCCAUGAUUUUUGUAAAACACACAUGCUUUUAGAAAAUUAUUACCGCAAGAUCACAUUAUUCUUAAAAAUUCAAAUUAAGAAGAAGUUUCUAGAAUUAAUCAAUUAAAUCCAUAUUAAUUUAUAUUUGAAACUUAUAUUCUUUUAUUAUAUUUAAGUACUAAGGUUGUUUUAACAUAAAUUUAAUUGACUAUUUUACCCUCCUAAGGUAAAAGUACUAAAAUCCUCAAAAAUUUACUUCAACUAAACUAACAAAAUGUAUUUAUGACCUAUGGGGCAUUAAAAAUAUUGAAUUUUAUUUUUAAAAUAUUAUAUUACAAAACAUAAAACUAUAUGCUAGAUACUAUAGUACAUGUUUCUUGGGGUAAUAUAGUCAUUUUACAUUAUAAGGAUGAAAUAGUCAAAUUAAACUUAACUUGAAGCACCCGUAAAUGCCAAAAAUUGUUAAAAGACCUAAGUCAUAAAAGAAAAUUAUUAUCAGAAUAAUUUAUUUAGUUAAUUAUCUGACUUAUUGUUAAUUUAUAAUUUUAUAAGCUAUUGUGAACUUAUUGCAAUUAUCUAAUGGAGAUGAGGGGGGGUUUUGCAAGAAUAUGAGCGGCAGUAUUGCCACUCUAUAAAAUAAAAAGAAUUAUGCAGUCAUGCAAAUGCAAAUAUGCUGAACUUACCUUGCAGGUUGUUAUGACGAAGAUCCAAAUCAAAAAGGUUGCUCAAAUUUCCUAUCCCUGAAGGAAUAUUUCCAUCAAUAACGUUGAAACUUGCUUGUAACAUCUCCAAUUUCGAUAAGUUGAAGAGAGAAUUUGGGAUUGGACCCGUGAUAUUGUUAUUACGAAGACUCAUUAUUUGUAAUUUGGAUAAGACACCAAUCCAAGUUGGAAUGCUUCCACUCAAUUUAUUGAAACUGAAACUAAUGAAUUUGAGUCGGCCUAAUUUCCCCAAUUCAUUAGGUAGAUGGCCAUAAAAAUUGUUCAAAGUAACAUCAAGAGACAUUAGGAAUGAGAGAUUUCCCAGGUGUGGGGGAAUAGUGCCUCCGAGACCCAUGCCUGAAAGAUUUAAAGCCUUGACUCUUUGAUGGCGUGAAUCACAAGAAAUACCAACCCAGCUGCAUAUUGGAUGAGAUAUAGACCAAUUAUUUGCUAGGACACUCCGAUAAUCACCGACGUGGGCUUUGAAUGCAAGAAGAGCUGAUUGAUCUGUUAAAUUGUUUAAAGUCGUCGUAGCUAAGUUAGCUAUGGAAUAUUGUAACAACAUAGGAACAAAGAAGAACGAUAGGCGCAUAUUGGUCGUUUUUAAUAGAUACAGCAACAUAAUUGCUAGGUGAGAUUGAAACAAGUUUGAAGUGAAGGAAAUUAGCAUAUACUUAUACAAGAGACAUGAAUUUGAAAACAAGAAAAGAAAAAAUAUACAGGAGACUUGCAAACUGUUAUAUUUUGUCAUUAAGCGAGUCGUCCAAGUAAACGCACGUAUGGACUUGCAAAUUGUUAAACGUCGCUGUACUUGAACCGUAAACAAAGGGUGUGUUUGGUUGGAGGAUUAAAAGUGGGGAUUAGACACUUUUUUUUUUUUUUAAAUUUUAUCCUUAUCUCAUGUUUGGUGCUGUCAAGGGUAUUAGGAUUUAGUUAUCUUGAACUCACAAGCUAAUCUUAAUUUUGUAAAGGAAAUUAUCCCAAGAGGGGUCAUGGGAUUAGUUAGUAUUGGAUUAUAUUGAUAACUCAAUUAAACAUAAUAAUUUAUAAAUAUUAAAAUUAUAGUAAUAUGUGAUAAAUGUAAUAAAAAAAUAUUGAUUUUAAUAAUGUAAAUAAUAAAUUAUACUAAAAAUCAUUAUUAAUUUCACAUUAAAUUAAAAUUCUAUUUUACUUUAUUUAAUUAUUAAAUAUUUUUUAUAAUUCCAAAUUUACGUUAUAAAUUAAUUAUUAAAUUAGUAUUCAAAAAGAUAAAUUUUUAUAAAAUAAUAGAUUAUUGAAUAAAUAUCAUAUAAAUAUCAUAUACAUAUUUAACAAAAUAAUAAUUAUUUAAAUUAUGAUUUCUAUUUCUUUAACGUCAUUGAGGUUGAUUUGUAUAAUUAAUAAUACAAAAUUUUAGUUUAUAAUAAUAUUAAUAAUAAUAAUAACUUGUAAAUUGUAAUAUUAUAAUGUAAAACAUGAUUAUUUAUAGUCCAAUCUAAUAUUGUACCAAACACAAUAUAGUAUUAUAUAUAAUCCACUAUUAUUCAAUCCAAUUCAAUUUUAUCCAAUUUAAUCUAAUCUAAUUCAAUCAAAUCCGGCGGACCAAACCAGCCCAAAGGGUUUAUGGCCCUUUACUUACCAAACAGAAAAAGAUGCUCAACAUUGACAUCUUUGACCCAAUCCAAAUCUAAUCCAUACAUCUGCGGAUCAGAUGCAGAUUUAACCUAAUCCAUAUCCAAUCCACCAUUUUACGGAUUGGUUUGUAGACUGAAAAAUAUUAUAAGAAUAAUUUAUUAAUUGUUCAGACUUAAUUUAUAAUUCUAUAAGAUAAUGUGAACUUAUUAUAACUAUCUUAUCAAAAUGAGGUGGGAUUGCAAGAAUAAUGAGUAGAAAUAUCCCCAACCGAUAAAAUAAAAAGAAUUUUACAGCUAUACAAAUGCAAAUAUGUAGAACGUACCUUGUAGGUUGUUAUAAGCUAGAUUCAGAUACAAAAGAUUGCUAAAAUUUCCUAUCGCUGAAGGAAUAUUUCCAUCAAUGACGUUGUACGUUGCGUGUAACGCCUUCAGCCUCGAUUAAUUGAAGAGAGAAUUUGGGAUUGGACCCGUGAAACUGUUAUUACGAAGACUCAACACUUGUAAUUUGGAUAAGACGCCAAUCCAUGUUGCAAUGCUCCCACUCAAUUUAUUGAAAGUGAAACUAAUGAAUAUGAGUCGGCGUAAUUGCCCCAAUUCAUUAGGUAGAUUGCCAAGAAAAUUGUUCAGGCUAACAUCAAGAGAUUCAAAUGAAUUUUUGAUGGCGCGAACCGCAAGAAAUGCCAAUCCAGGUACACAUUGGAUAAGAUAUAGACCAAUUAUUUGUCAGGAUACUUCGAUAAUCAACGACACGGGCUUUGCAUGCAAGAAGAGCCGAUUGAUCGGUUGUUAAGAUGCAAUAGUGAGUAGUGAAAGUGGUUUGAGGUGGAGAUGCACCGGGAUCUACGGCCAUCCUGAGUUCAGCCAGAAGCAUAAUACUUGGACUCUCAUGAAAAGGUUAGCCAGCCUAUUUUCCUAUCCUUGGUGCUGUUUUGGUGAUUUUCAAUGAGAUAAUGCAUAUGCAUGAGAAAAACGGGGGCAAUGAGAGAAACCUGAAUAGGGUUGCCGAGUUUAGGGAAGCUGUGCAAAGCUGCAAUUUGCAGGAUAUGGGGUGUAAGGGAUAUCCCUAUACGUGGUCAAACAAAAGAUACAGAGAUCAUUUUAUUGAUGAGAGAUUGGACCGUUUUCUGUGUAGUAAAGAUUGGGGGAUUAAUUUUCAAGAAUCUGUAGGCACAAAUCUAGUGAACUGGUCUUCGGACCACUGCCCAAUCAUUCUAGAUUUCCAUGAGCGAAGCCAAAAUUCGAGACAUGCGGGCAAAUCUCUCCCCCGAGAUUAUUAUGAGGAUAUGUGGAGCUCCCACGAAGGCUGUAGGAGUAUAGUCCAGGAAGAGUGGAGCCGGUAUGGGGCUAGAGCUUGGGAAGCCCCUGUUCAGCAAUUUCAAUGAAUAGCCAAAUCUUCCUUGGCCCAGCUAAAACUUUAGAGCAAAACCGAAUUUCAUGGUAGGCAAAGAAAGUAAGAAAAGCUUAUGCAGAGCCUCCAGGAUGCUAUGAGAGGGAAUUCAAAGCUGGAUGAUGGCCAGGAAAUUAGGAGAUUGGAAAGUCAGAUUAACUCUAUGCUAGUUGAUGAGGAGAUUUACUAGAAACAGCGUUCGAGGGCCGACUGGCUUAGAGAAGGGGAUAAGAACACGAAGUAUUUUCACGCCAAAGCAUCUGCCCGCAAAAGGAAGAACAAGGUGUGGGGGAUUGAGAAUGACCAGGGCAUUUGGUUGAAGGAAAGGGAUGAAAUAGAGGAGGAGAUUUGCAGCCAUUUCCAAAAGCUUUUCACUACUUCCAGCCCGACUCCAAGCCAAAUCCAAGCAACCCUUCAAGGCAUGACAACAAAAGUAACUCCGGAGAUGAAUGUUCAGCUGGAGAAGCCGUUCACCGCUGAAGAUGUUGAGGAAGCCCUUGCCAACAUGUGUCCCACAAAGGCCCCAGGGCCUGAUGGUCUUCCAGCUGCCUUCUUCCAGAAGCAUUGGAAAUCUGUCCGUAACAGAGUGAUCUCAACGUGCCUUAAUGUCCUUAAUGAGCAAGGUAACCCAUCUACCCUCAAUCACACCUUUAUAGCUUUGAUUCCAAAAAUUGCAAAUCCUAGGAAAGUGAGUGAUUAUAGACCUAUCAGCCUCUGUAAUGUUAUUUAUAGAGUUGUAGCUAAGGCCAUUGCAAAUAGAAUGAAGCCGAUCUUUUCCCAAAUCAUCUCCCCUAUGCAAAGUGCAUUCAUCCCCAAUAGGCUCAUUACCGACAAUGUUAUUAUUGGUUAUGAAUGCCUUCAUAAAAUUAGGCAUAGCAAAGGGAAGAAGAACGGACUUGUAGCUUUAAAAUUGGAUAUAAGUAAGGCUUAUGAUAGAGUUGAGUGGCCUUUUUUGGAACAAACUAUGCUAAAGAUGGGGUUUCCUAGUAAUUGGGUAGCUCUGAUAAUGAGAUGUGUUAUUUCCACUUCAUUCUCGGUGCUAAUUAAUGGUGUGCCAAAAGGAAUGAUCCAGCCAAAAAGAGGCUUGCGACAGGGCUGCCCGCUAUCCCCGUACCUUUUUAUCCUUUGUGCAGAGGCUCUCUCCAAUUUGCUGGUUGUGGCAGAACAGAACCAGCUAAUCCAAGGGCUCAAAUUUGCGCGGGAAGUUUCAAUUACGCACUUGCUGUUUGCGGACGAUAGCUUGGUAUUCUCUCGUGCAUCAGUGGCUGAAUGCAGGCAUUUAAAAGAAAUGUUUGAUAAAUAUGCUGCAGCAUCAGGGCAGAUUUUUAAUUUUCAGAAAUCCUCACUGUUCUUCAGUGGAAAAAUUCCAGAGCAUCAACGGGCUGCUAUAAGGGGUAUCUUUAAUCUAAAUGUAGUCUCAAAGCAUGAGAAAUACCUUGGCCUACCAUCAAUGAUUGGGAGAAAGAAGAUGGGGUUCUGUAACGACAUCAAGCUGAAAGUGUUGAACAAGAUUGCAGGAUGGCAGCAUAAAAUGUUGUCUAGUGGGGGGAAGGAAGUUCUGAUCAAAGCGGCAGCCCAAGCAAUUCCGGCGUAUGCAAUGAGUGUUUUCAAGCUCCCAAGAGGCUUUUGUGAUGAUAUUCAGCGAGCUAUAGCGAAGUUCUGGUGGGGCUCGAAAGGGGAUAAGCACGGAAUCCAUUGGCGAAAAUGGGAGAAGCUCAGCCAGGCAAAGAUUAGAGGGGGGCGGGGAUUUCGAGAGUUUUCUUGCUUCAAUCAAGCGCUGGUAGCUAAGCAAGCUUGGAGGUUACUGCAGUACCCAAAUUCGCUGGUCUCCAAAGUCCUUCAAGCAAGAUAUUUCAGGAAUUCCAGCUUUUUAUGUGCAAAGGCAGGAGCCAAUGCCUCGUAUAUUUGGAGAAGCAUCAUGUGGGGUAGGCAGGUGAUUAAGAAGGGUAUGAGAUGGCAGAUAGGUAAUGGCAAGAAGGUAGCAAUUUUCUCGGAUAACUGGCUGCCAAGACCAGAGACCUUCAGACCUAUCUUCCCUCCAUCUUUGCCCGUAAGCUCAGUUGUUGCAGAUUUAAUUAAGGCUGAUAAUCAAUGGGAUGAAAUAAAGCUUCGACAGCACUUCAUGGAUGUAGACACAGCAGAGAUCCUCAAGAUUCCCCUCCCAACUGAGAAAGAAGAAGAUGGAGUGCUUUGGGAUUACGACAAAAGAGGGAACUACUCUGUCAAGAGUGGGUAUCAGCUAGCAUUGAGAUCAAAAUUUCCAGAUUCCACCAGCUGCACAGAGGCUUCCCACAAGUACUGGAGUGCCCUUUGGACACUGGAGUUGCCUGCGAAGCUUAAAAUUUUCAUGUGGAGGGCCUCUAAUAAUCUGCUUCCAUCGGUGGAAAAUCUGUGGAAAAGGAAGGUAGUGGAGGAGCCAACUUGUAAGCGAUGCAAACUGAGUGUUGAGACUAUCAGCCAUGCUCUCUUGGAGUGUAAGGUAGCGAGAAAAAUUUGGCUCCAAUCCCCCUUUUCAGGCCUUAGAUUAGAAGCCAAUUCUCAGGACAUUUUCAGCACUUUGCAAAAUAUGGCUAAGGAGAUGAGGAAAUCAGAUCUGGAAUUAAUGGUAGCUCUGUGUUGGUCUGCCUGGUAUGCUAGGAACAAAUGUAUCUUCGAUGGCAGGGAGAUUAAUCCUAUUAUAUCAGCUGCUAAAGCGGAGUCUGUUUUGUCAGCUUUUCAGAGAGUUAGGAAGCCCCAGCAAGCUCACAUCUCUAUCUUCAUAAAAGAGAAGCAGCAGGAGUGGCUCCCCCCUCCCCCGAAUGUUUUUAAAGUUAAUGUGGAUGCUGCUCUUAAUUCAAAGAAUCUGAGUGCAGGAGUGGGAACUGUGAUUAGAGACUCUAAUGGAAAGAUAGUUGCGGCUGGGGUAAAUCAGAACCUCCUAAAGGGGUCAGCUAGCUUGGCUGAAGCAGAGGCGGUGCUUUGGGGCCUUCAGCUGGCGAGAAAGGCGGAUGUAUCCUCUUUGAUUAUUGAGUCUGAUUGUUUAGAGGUGGUCCAGCUAGUGAACAACACCAAGGGCAGCAGAUCAGAAAUUUUUUGGACAAUUCUGGCAAUCCAAAACCAGAUGAAGAACUUCCAGAAAGUGGUUGUCAAUCACAUUCCAAGACAUUGUAAUGCUUGUGCCCAUUACCUAGCUAAGAUAGCUUUGGGGAAAAUCUCUCCCUGUAUGUGGCUGGGAAAUAUUCCAGCUGAAUUGUAUGGUAUUAUCAAGGUGUUGUGAUUAAUGAAAGGUUUACUUUCUUUUCAAAAAAAAGAAGAAUGAUAAGCGCAUAUUGGUCUUUUUUUUUAGAUGCGUCCAUCUAAUUGCUAAGUGAAGUUGAUACAAGUUUUAAGUGAAGGAAAUUAGCAUAUGCAUAUACAAGAGGCGUAUGAAUUUUGAUAACAAGAAAAGAAAACAAUAUACAGGAGAGUGGAGGCUUGCAAAUUGUUAUAUUUCAUUAUUUAGCGAGUCGUCCGAGUAAACGCGUAUAGACUUUUAAAUUGUUAUACGCCGCCGUACUUGAACCGUGAAUAAAGGGCUUAUGGCACUUGAGUUACCAAAAAGAAGAAGAUGCUCAACAUUGGCAAGGCCUAUGCAUUCUGUCCAUUUGUUCACGUUUUGCCGAGGCUCAUGGCAACCACAAUAUGUUCUUUUUCUUUCCUCUAAAAAACAAAAAGACGACCUUCACAUUUGGGCUAAUAAUUAUCACUAAACAAUUAAUAAUGCUGAGGGCUAGUGGUAAUGUAGCUUUAAAAUAAUUGUUAUUAGUUGCGCCUUAAAAAUAAAGAAAUAAAGAUAGUUAUACUAUACCCCCACAAUUUAAUAAAAUAAUCAUGUAAAUUUCUAAACUUUUAACAAUAUACACCAAGACCCCUUAUGUUACUUUUUACCAUUUAUUUGGAUGUCACAUGCUUUUUUUUUUUUUUUUUUAAAUUUUUCACUGCAGAAAUUAAAUGCUAAAUUUACUGUUAUUCCCAUAUCAUGUCAUCGCUUGCUUCUACACAUAUUGAUUGUUUUUCCAAAGUUUAAAAUUGAAUUAAAAACAUUCUAAUUAACCUAAAAAUUAAAAAAAAAACUCAUCCAACCAGAUAUAAAUCUUCUAAUUAACCUAAAGAUAAGCUACACCCCCAUAUUAAUUCCAAUUAAAUAAAUCUUCAUUUUUGUCAUGGUUUUGGAUCUCGAGCAGGGUGGAUACAUCCAACCAGAUCCGCCCCAUUGGCAUUCCAAUAUAUUAUGGAAUUGGAAGAGUAUCAAUGACUUAAUUUGUAAUUUUAAAUUUGUAACGUAUAAUUCUAAUUUAAGGAUUCAAAUUAAUUUAUGCGGAUCUAAAAGGGGACUGAUGAUGGGCAUGCAUACAUACAUGCAUACAUAUAUUUACAUAGAGAGAGAGAGAGUGAGGUAAUAUAACAUUCUUCUUGAUGAAGAUUUUUGUGCCAUACGCAUUAAAGAGAGUAUUGUGUCGAUGUUGGAGGCUAGAGGGACAAGUGGUUACAUUGCUUCAGAGGUGUUUAGUAGAAACUUUGGUGAGGCAUCACAUAAUUUAAACUACUAGAUUUAGCGAGAUAUAUAUAUUUUCCACAUUGGAUUUACAAGCAUUUGGAGCAGGAUAAUGAAUUUAAAUUACUCGGAAUUGUAAACAGCGGAAAGUGAAAUUGCUAAGAAGAUGAAUAUUGUUGUUUUGUGGUGUAUACGGACUCGUCCAUCGGAUAGGUCGCCCAUGAACAGAGUGAUAGAAAUGUUAUUGCAAAGAAGCAGACUGACUAGCAGUGACGCUUUGAAUAAAUCCACCAAACAUCUUCUCCUACAAGACCACCAAUAUAUUCUUCCACCAUUCAACGUCGUGAUGUGGGGAUCAGAAUUGAAUUAUAGGAUGCUUGUAAGUUUCCUUUGUGGAACUUGUGAAUUUGUGAUGGCAAAAGUCAAUGAUGCAUGUAACUAGCCGGCCCGUGUAGAGGCCGUUUGACUCAUAAAUAUUUGUCACUUUCACUCUUUUUCAAAACCCAAAAGCACGCUAAAGCUUAAUCUAAAAAGAAUUUUUGAUUUAGUGCUGACAUUUUGGGCUCACCUUUGAGUAAUGUUUUACCACGCAUGCAUUUAUGUCAUUGUGCGGUCAUCCUUUACUUCUAAAGAUCGUAAUCUUUAAGAAAAAAUUACUUCUUUUGAAAGUGAAAGCAGGCCAGCUAUUGGCGUAUUGCAUUGAAGCUGCUAUGUGUAGUAGUCAAUUCUUGGAAAGAACUAGUUUUCUUAAAUUGUAAAUGGUCCCCUUUAUGACUGGGAGAUUUUGAACAAAAUUAAUAUGAUGAAUUCUUAGCAAGUGUUGUUCCUUGAAGUCUCAUCUUUCACAAUGUUUUUGAAAUAAAGAUAUUACCAUCUCUGACUAAAGAUUUACUCUUGAUUUGGACCACCUAAUCUGAACUUGAUGGAUGAUUAUGAUCUUGCCUAAUUUUAUGGAUGUGGUCUUAUCUCACGUAAGUCAGUAAUGAAUUAAUUAAAGUUUACUGUCAAAUUAUGAACUGAAAAACUGCUGCUACUUCAUUAUUCACAAUGCCCAAAUUCAGUGCAGAACUGAUUAUAAGUUUUCCGAAAGUUUUACGCUUUCUUUCCCCCAAAUCCCAAGUACUUCCUGUAAUAUCAUUCCCCUAUAGAUGUCUUCCCCUGAGACAUUUUUAACUUUGGUUCAGGGUAACAAAGCUAUAGCUUUUCCUGUCGUGUGCAACAAGCUAUUAAAUUAGAGUAUUUAUUUCUGUAUUACUACUAGUAGUAAGAGAGGCGAAAUGGAAUCUUGAAUUCAUGUUUAUACAACAGUUUGUUUAUAAAUAAAUGAGUUGAUAACAAGUCAUUUUAAAUAUUUGCAAAAAAAAAAACGGUGAGUGAUGUCUAGUUCUAUUUUCAAUGUUCAGAGUCGAAUUUUGAUUACUGAAAAUUUUAAUUUAUGAAGUUGAACUAAGAAUUUGUUAUAAUAUAUUCCACCUUCCUAUACAGUCAUCUGGAAUAAUAAUAUAUCAAAAACAGUAAUAACUUGAUUUACAGGGUGAGAAAGAAAAGAAAGACGCUACGAGGGAAGCAGAGAUUCAAAGACUUCGCUACUUUGUUGGAGGAACAAUUUCAUAAAUCUCCAGAAUAUUGACAUAAAACACAGAACAUAUCUAGCAUUAAGUAUAUUUAUGUAUGUCCAAAGAUAAAAAUUCGAAGAUUAGAUUUAUCAUUUCAAUUUAUGUUCCGCCCAAAGCAAUGGCUUUUAUUCCACAAGCACAAACAAGAAAGAGUACACAAAGUUAACAAACACACAUGUUGAUGCGAGAUUCUGGUUGUCCUCGUUCUACGACCAGGGUCUCUGCUCGAUCAACUUCACCACGACCAGGAUCUCUCCUCGUAAAGCUUCUUCUCCAGAGGUUCCUGCGCACACAGACAGGUCAGAGUACGCCGGUUUUUUUCCCGGCGCAAACCCUCCAACGCUCAAGUCAGAAAUAGGGGUUCUGGGAAUGUUUGCCACGAAUCUUAUGGCUUCUUUUUAAUCUCAGUUCUCGGAACUUUCUUUUCUUAGUUCUAAUAGCAAAAAGUCUAACCCUUUUACCUUUGCUGGCUACUUUUUUAUAGGCUUCCUCUGAAUCCCGGUCUUCCGUAGUCCACGCCCAUUACUCUUCCCACCCUCGGAUGUGGAUGCCCCAUUGUCGUCAUUGUGGGCGAAUGGAGAUGGACUUCGUGCCUUGAUUCUCGGAUAGGAACGCACGUCUUGCCAACUGUCGUUGACCGGGUCUCCUCGCCUCGACCCCUAGCAGGAAUGGCCUUAUGCCUCUAACAGGAGUUCGUCCUCGUGAAUGGCAUAUUUGUGGACGAGCAGAAUAUUCCUGCUCCUGUUCCCUUGCUACCAGGCUCUUACAGGACAUACCUGUUCGCAGAACUCUGCCACCAAAUAUAUGCUCAUCAUGUCUGGUCUCGUCGAAGUAUUUCCCUCAAACACCGGUCCCCCAGUUUCUGGUGUUGGGUAAUGUAAUGGACCAGCAGUAGAAACUCAACAGUUCUUGCUCGCGUGAGACUUGAAAAGGCUGCCAAGAGUCGUGUCGCAUUUAAUUGCGGAUGCAGUGAUGUGGCAGAAAUCUACCCCUUCGUUUGAAUUUCAAACCUACGGUUGCAAGAUUCUCAGAAUCUGCGUCAUUAAAUGCUGGCAGCCCAAAAGUUUGCUUCUCAGUAAGAAAACCCAAAAUCCUCAAACACGAACUCGUCAUUUUCUCCAUUCCUGUCUCUCCGGCUAAUGAACCUCGGCAUUAAAGCUUUCAUCCCUGUCUCUCUCUGAGCGAGUCCCUGCUUCAGGUAUUUCUUCUAUCUUCACGGUCUCGGUUAGUUGUAGAUAAUUUCUUUUCUCUUUGCUUUGCUUGGGGUAGUAUCUGGUAGUGGUGUUUUGGUUAUAACCUAGGGAAUGUCGAAGGGUAAGGAGAAAGUCGUUGAUAUUGAUGACGACGAACUAGGUUUCUUGCCUAGUCUGCUCACUGAUUCUGCUUUUGGCCCCGGGAUCCCCUUAGAGCCCACUAGGUCUAGUGUUGGGACUAGCGCUAGGAGGAUGUCCCCCCAAACAACCUCCACGAGCGGAAGUAGUGGCGAGGAGGGACCUUCUGGCUCGGAAGACACCCUAAGUGAGGAUCAAUGAGGUGACUCUGGUGAGGGAUCUUCACCGGGAACACUGCGACCAGAAGGGUGUAGUACAGUAGGAGGUAGAGCCUUGUCGCGGGAUUAUGCUAUUGAUUACAUGACCUGCACGACCACAUUCAACGAGCUGGAUGACCUCCGGCUCAGGUAUCAUAUUCCUGGUGAGGUACUCCUUAGGAUCCCAGGAAAGAAAGAUAGUCUUAGCAGGCCUCCUAGGGGAUUUGUCACCUUGUUCUUGGAGAGUUUUAAGUACGGGCUAAGGUGCCCCUUGCAACUCUAUUUUGCUCGCAUACUCCACGGGCUCAAUCUAGCUCCUGGUCAGUUGAACCCCAAUGGGUGGAGGGUGCUCUUUGGUCUGUUCAUAUUGUGGGACAGAUGUUGCCAAAGCGAGCCCACGGUUGAUGAGGUGAAGCACCUGUACCAGCUAAGGAGUAGCCCCAAAGAUGCCGGCUGGUACUACUUCCAAUCUAGUACCAAGAGUAGGAAACCCAUAACUGAUCUUCCAACUGGUGGUGGUGGGACUUGGAAGAGGAAAUUCUUUUUUGCUGGGGGUCCUUGAGGUCAAGUUGCACAAAUAGACGGGAAGGAUUGUCGCGUCCCACCCCGUUUCACGGUCCCAGGUUGCCUGCUCACUUUAGAUGUCUUGUAUCCAUAAUUGUUCUUACUUUAUUGGUUUGUCUCUAACCAAGUGUCUGUUUGUGUUGUAGUUUCUUGGGGUGUUCAUUUUCCGCUCAAACCUGAUCAGCUCAAACGGGUCGAGGCUGUACUAGCCAACUCCUGCCCGAGCCGAGAACUGAUAACUAUUUAUAACUUCCUCGAGUCUCGCUUGGUACUCCCUGGCCAUAAGAUGGAGGACGCUGUGAUUGGGGCUCUGAACAGGAAACGUUCUCGACCUCAAAACACGAAGAGGGACCAGAACAAGGACGCCCCUAGGGCAAAGCGGACCAACAUCGUGCAGCAAGUCUCUCCCUUGAAGACUUUACCUCCUGCUCCUGCCAAAGUCAGCGAAACUAGUGGAGCAGCCACAGAUCCUGCUUCCUCUUCUCCUCCUGUCGGGCCUCGAUCUCGCUUUCCUGACAGCCGAGCAGAACACUUGGUCCCCUAUCUCAAUGAGUUAUCUAAACUCGUGAGCAAGAAGGACCUGGAGGACUUUAAUGGCUGCACCCUGGGCGAGCUGGUAGGAGCCAUGCAGUAUAGUGCUUUCCAUCUCAGCUGCAUGACCACCUAUUAUAAGGCUAAGGUUGGCCGUUAUGACAGGAAGAUGAAGGAGGACAUUCAAUCAGCGAUGACCAGAGCUGACGCCGCCGAGAAGAAAGCAGGAGAGCUAAAUGUCGAGAACCUGAAGCUGAUAGAGCAAGAAUCUCUUGCUCAAGCAAAAGCCAUUACCCUCGAGGAGGAGCUGACCAAGGUCAAGGAGGAUCUUCAAAGGCAGAAGGCAAUGUAUGAGGCUCAGCUCGAAUCUCUCCGCGAUUCCCAUCGAGCUCAGGUCGAGAACUUGGAGAAGGAGGCCGACAACCAGUACGACCAGGGACUUCGGCAUUCCUAUCGUUGCAUCAUGGCCGUCCUCGGGAAGCAGCAUCCUGAUCUAAAGAUGGACGACCUUGCAGCUGGUGUCGCCCAACAUAUGGACGAGGAGGCUGCAAAGGAGGAUGCCGAAGGGGUAGACGCAAUCGUGAUUGAGGAGGAAAACUCUCCUCCUCAUGUAGACCCUGCUGACGUUGGCGAGGCGAGCACCCCCCCGGACGCAACUGGUGAUACCCCCCCUGCACCUGAGGAGGUCCAGCCAACCGAUGCUGCUCGGCAUACUGAUCCGCCAUCUUCUUGAACUUAUCUUGUGCUGUAAUUGCUUUUUGAAUAUUCUAUAUAACAGCUUUGUAAACUUUUAAGAGCUUAAUAAGAUUGUUCUUAUUUGCUUCCUCGCAUUGGUAUUUUAAUUUAUUUAUCUAUUUGGCUUCUGUCCUCGUCACAGAGGAGGCCUUGAAGUUUGACGAGCCUUUGCCUGUCUUGGAUAAUUUCUUCAAUGAUUGGGAUUCUGCUCGCCUUCGCGUGGUCGAGCAGAUCCUGGCACGCUUGGCUUUUGGUCUCGCCAUAAACAGGCUUUGAGACUCGACGAGCCUUUGCAUGCCUUAGUUUCUUCAAGGAUUGGGAUUCUGCUCGCCUUCGUGUGGUCGAGCAGAUCCUGGCACGCUUGGCUUCUGGUCUCGCCAUAAACAGGCUUUGAGACUUGACGAGCCUUUGCAUGCCUUAGUUUCUUCAAGGAUUGGGAUUCUGCUCGCCUUCGCGUGGUCGAACAGAUCCUGGCACGCUUGGCUUCUGGUCUCGCCAUAAACAGGCUUUGAGACUCGACGAGCCUUUGCAUGCCUUAGUUUCUUCAAGGAUUGGGAUUCUGCUCGCCUUCGCGUGGUCGAGCAGAUCCUGGCACGCUUGGCUUCUGGUCUCGCCAUAAACAGGCUUUGAGACUUGACGAGCCUUUGCAUGCCUUAGUUUCUUCAAGGAUUGGGAUUCUGCUCGCCUUCGCGUGGUCGAGCAGAUCCUGGCACGCUUGGCUUCUGGUCUCGCCAUAAACAGGCUUUGAGACUUGACGAGCGUUUACAUGCCUUCAAUUCUUCAAGGAUUGGGAUUCUGCUCGCCUUCGCAUGGUCGAGCAGAUCUUGGCACGCUUGGCUUCUGGUCUCGCCAUAAACAGGCUUUGAGACUUGACGAGCCUUUGCAUGCCUUCAAUUCUUCAAGGAUUGGGAUUCUGCUCACCUUCGCGUGGUCGAGCAGAUCCUGGCACGCUUGGCUUCUGGUCUCGCCAUAAACAGGCUUUGAGACUUGACGAGCCUUUGCAUGCCUUCAAUUCUUCAAGGAUUGGGAUUCUGCUCGCCUUCGCGUGGUCGAGCAGAUCCUGGCACGCUUGGCUUCUGGUCCCGCCAUAAACAAGCUUUGAGACUUGGUGAGCCUUUGCAUGCCUUUGAUAAUUUCUGGAAAGCUUAGGAUUCUGCUCACCUUCUCGUGGUCGAGCAGAUCCUGGCACGCUUGGCUUCUGGUCUCGCCAUAAACAGGCUUUGAGACUUGGUAAGCCUUUGCAUGCCUUUGAUAAUUUCUUGAACAGUGUAGUUGAUUCAAACUCCUCAUUGAUUCAUUUAUUAUUGAAUUCGGCUUACAUGAGGUUGCUUUGAAAUAAGAAAUAAAAAAAUAGAAAACAACAGACAUGAACAGAAAAAAAACUUUAAAACAUGAGUAAGUCUUACUAGAAAUAUUUCCUGAGGUGUGCCGCGCUCUAGGGGCGUUUCACCUCGUGGCCCUCCGUGCGAACCAACUUGUAAACUCUGGGUCCAACUAGCUGCCAUUCCUGGCUUCCACUCGGGUAUCAAAGGAUGUUAUCUGCAUUGCUUCCUUUGUUGCCGAGGAGUAACAGCUUCGUGCGAUUCUCUGGUCUCCUCGUACCACUCCAACUACCCCAUUCACCCGGUACUUGAGAGCCAGAUAAUGGUUGGACAGCACCGCUUUGCUCAUCCUCAGAAAUGGCCGGCCUAGGAUCAUCUGAUAAGGACCUUCCUCAUCCACUACCACAAAGUCCAGUAUCAUUGUCCUUUCUGUCGGGGAGCUCCCAAUCGUGAUAAGUAGCUCGACCACGCCCAGAGGGACCAACUUUCCUCCUCCAAACCCCUUCAAGGAGGUAUUGGUGUAAUCCAACUUCAGGUCUGCUAUUCCCAUUUCCUCCAGGGUUGACUUAAACAACACAUCAACUGAGCUCCCUGUGUCAACCAGUAUCCUGUCAAACUUCUUGCUGGCAACAGUGGCCUUGAUGACCAAAGCAUCCUCGUGGGGGUAUAGAAUCCCUUCUUCAUCCUCAUCUGUCCACAUGAUUGGCACUUGCCUGACUCUUGCACAUUUGGCUGCUGGGGUGUUGAAGAAUACAUCUUUGCUGGUCAUGGCGUAUCUAGCGUAAUUCUUCCUCGACCUGUUGGAAUCUCCGGCCAAUGUUGGGCCCCCAGCUAUCACCCUUAGUGCAGGAUGCUCGCGCCUCAGGUUUCUAUCACUCUGCUCCCCUUCAUAUGUCGAGGCCACCAUCGGGAAAGUCCCAUCUACAAACUCGUCCAGGUACCGAUUUCUCACCAAAUCUUCAACCUGGGUCUUGAGAUCUCUGCAUUCUGCGGUGGUAUGGCCAUGAGUGCCAUGGAACUUACAAUGGCGUCCCCUAUCCCUCCUGCCGGGUAGCUUUGUUAUUGGGGCAGGGAGGUACAGCAGUCCUCGGUCCUUUAUGGCCUCGUAUACUUCAUCUAGGGACAUCUUCAAGGACGUGUAUCGCCCAUACUCCUGGUUCUGGUCGAUCAGGUGCACGGCCCUUUCUCUAUUUGCUCCGUUCUGAGUUGGAGGCGAUGACAGCAUUUCUGGUCUGCUCCCUCUACUACCGUGGGAGUGUUGAUGAAGACCACCAUAUGUCGAAUCAUGCCUUCUCCAAGGCUCCCUAGCUGGGGAACGAGGAGGGUGCGCCCUGCUGCGCUGAUACUGUGGUGGCCUCUGAUGAGGCUGGUGAGCUGUUACCCGACCUCCUGCUCCACUACCUGAGGCCUGGAGGUCCCUCCUCCUGAUCGGCCAAUUUCCCAGUAAUGCCCUCUUUUCUUUCUUUUCCAACCCCUCCAGCUGGUCUGUCUUAAUCCGAGCUGCCUUUUCUUCCUCGAUCUCUAUGUCUCUUUUAGCUUGCUCGUAUGCGGCUGCAUACGUCUGAAUAGCUGGGCUUCUCAAGUUGUACCACAGCCUUCCUAUCUUCACUCCCUCUUUCAAUCCCCUUAGUGCCUGAGGAUGGUCGAAGGCUCCCAAAUCGAGGACAGCACGAUGAAACCUCUUGAUGAAUUCCCGAAGAGUUUCUUGUUCCCCUUGCUUCAUGCUUUUCAACUCCAUCAUGUCAUCUUCUAGUGCCAUUGCCCCACGAAACUGCUCUGCAAACUCCUGGCACAUCUGCUCGAAGGUUUUAAUGCUCCUCCCCCGAGGAAGUUUUCUGUACCACUCUCGUGCACGUCCCUCAAGGGAUAGUGGGAACACCCUGCCUGCACCUUUGGGAUUGAGAUAAUCCUUGUACCCCAAUUAUGUCGUUGAAGCGCUCUAUGUGCACCAGCGGAUCUGUUCGUCCCGAAUAUCUAAGGUCUGGGAGGCGGAAAUCUCUCGGAAUAACUGCCCUCAUGAUCUCUGCUGCGAGCGGUGAUUCUCCAUCUAGCAUUAUCCUCCAACCAGGAGCUCUGCUCCUUCCUUGCAUGUCGUCAAUUAUCUGCGCUAGUCUGCGCACUUCCUCCUCCAGCUGCACUGCACGACCAGGGUCACGUGCUGCAACUUGAUCCCGCUCUUGCUCUACAUCAAGCAAGUGUUGCCUCAACUCUGUUUCCUCUGCAUUUGCCACCCCGUCGUCCUCGUCAAAAAUCUGUCUUGCCGGGAAUUGCUCUUCCUCUCUACGGAAUUCUCCCCGCAGAGGUAUGUUACCUCUCUCACCACCAAAUCUCCCGGUGGUUUGACUUCUCCUCGUACUAUCGGGACCUAGUGCCACUCCACCAACUCUCAUCCUUUCCUCCUGGGUUACCCUUCGUUCACUCCGCAACUCAUGCAGGAUGGUUGUCAGGGUCUCCAUCUGCUUUUCCAUUCGUUCCAUUCGGUCGAACAUGGCUUUUUCCCGUGCUUCACUGGCUAUCUCCCUCAGAGUCACGGAAUCGUUAAGCCUCAUAUCACCCCCUUGUGCACUACUUCCUCCUGUCUCCAUUGCUUUUCACUUGCUUCACUCCUCUUCUUGCUAUCAACAGAAGCUUUUUGAUCAGCUCCCCACAGACGGCGCCAAAAUAUUGAUGCGAGAUUCUGGUUGUCCUCGUUCUACGACCAGGGUCUCUGCUCGAUCAACUUCACCACGACCAGGAUCUCUCCUCGUAAAGCUUCUUCUCCAGAGGUUCCUGCGCACACAGACAGGUCAGAGUACGCCGGUUGUUUUCCCGGCGCAAACCCUCCGACGCUCAAGUCAGAAAUAGGGGUUCUGGGAAUGUUUGCCACUAAUCUUAUGGCUUCUUUUUAAUCUCAGUUCUCGGAACUUUCUUUUCUUAGUUCUAAUAGCAAAAAGUCUAACCCUUUUACCUUCGCUGGCUACCUUUUUAUAGGCUUCCUUUGAAUCCCGGUCUUCCGUAGUCCACGCCCAUUAGUCUUCCCACCCUCGGAUGUGGAUGCCCCAUUGUCGUCAUUGUGGGCGAAUGGAGAUGGACUUCGUGCCUUGAUUCUCGGAUAGGAACGCACGUCUUGCCAACUGUCGUUGACCGGGUCUCCUCGCCUCGACCCCUAGCAGGAAUGGCCUUAUGCCUCUAACAGGAGUUCGUCCUCGUGAAUGGCAUAUUUGUGGACGAGCAGAAUAUUCCUGCUCCUGUUCCCUUGCUACCAGGCUCUUACAGGACAUACCUGUUCGCAGAACUCUGCCACCAAAUAUAUGCUCAUCAUGUCUGGUCUCGUCGAAGUAUUUCCCUCAAACAACACAUAGCAAACAUGACAUUAACUACUUGCAGCAGCAUCAUCCAGAAACUUCACUAUAAUCUUCUUGAGCUUUUCAGCGGCAUCUUUCGUAGAUGCCCUUUGUUUUGGUGACUCCAUGCAAAAAUCCAAUGCCGAAUGCAUGAUGCUUAAUAAACAAUUCAUUUUAUUAGUACAUUGGAUAUAAUCGAAGGCAGAGUAUAUUUCAGGACAAGUAGAGUAGCAUUCUUGGAUCCUUUGCUAUUAUCUUCUUUGCAAGGUGGGACUUGAGGUCCUGGUGGACAACAUACUGCAUAAUUCUAAAAAAAUUAUUGAGCUGAAAUGUUUUUAAAAGGUCUUUUGAUAGAAACUCCCCCUUCUAGCCUAUUGUGAGACACAUUAAGUUGUUUGAGAUAUAAGAGUGCCUCUAUUGACUUUGGAAUUUCUCCAGAGAAAUUGUUGCUUGGGAGAUCCAAAGAUUCCAACCUUAUCAAACUACCAAAUGAUUUGGGGAUUAGACCAUAAAAUUGGUUUCUAGCCAAGCUAGAUCUUUGGGGCCACCAAUAUUUACUGGCAUAUCACCUGAUAAUUGAUUUCUUGAUAAAUCUAACUCUAUUAAGACCCUUAAGUUUUGUAUAUCACUUGAUAAUUGUUUGUAUUGGGCCUUCUAUUUUCAUUAUAGAAUAAAUUAACUAUUAAUUUUCAUGAGAAAAAUACUUAUUUCCAUAAAAUUAUUCAAGCUUUUAAAAAGAUUUAGAAUUAAAAAUCAAACUUUGUACUGUAGAAAAUUUGCCGGUACGUUCAAUUAGUACUUUGUUUGAGGAAAUAAGAUUAGAAUAGGCUAUAGGUACGGUAGUUAUGCGGUACCUGUUUAAUAACCGUAGUAUAGUAAAUGUUUGACUUUUUUAUUAGAAAUAUAUCAUUAACAAUUUUGUUCGCUAAUUGAAUAGAGAAAGAAAGGGGGGGUGGGGGGGGGGGGAGGGCAAAAAGGUUAACACAUUUCGAAACUACAAACGAUUGCCUUUUCCUAUUAAUAAUGUUUGCGGAUUCUAACAAUUGAAUCUCAAGGUCAUUACAUAGUGAAUUUUAUAGUUAAUAAAAUUAAUAUUCCACAUACUAUCUACUCAAUUAAUGUCACAUUUUUUGAAACUUGAAUGAUCUAUUUGCUACAAUUAGGAGCCAACGUCGUAAUGAAUGUUAAAUUAUGCUGUUUGUUUUGAUUUACUUUUCUAUCUUAGCUCCAAGUGAUUAGCGGAAUGCUGGUCUUGUGAGUAUAAAAUGAACUCCUUAAGUCAAAUUCCUUCUGGGGUGUUGGAGAAAGAACUAAAUACAUGUAAUCUUGCUUUCGGAUAUGGAUUAUCUGAUGGAUGUUGUAUUUUCUAGGUAUUGAGGAGAUUCCUCAUUAUUGAAAAAUUACGUUCCCGAGCAUCAAAAGAUGAUCCCAUAGAAUUGCGUUCUCCUGUGACAAAAGAGGAGCUUGUAGCUGAGGUAUCGAUUUUUAUCUUUCUUGAUUGUUCUUUAUAGUUGUUUCUCAUCAAAAUAGAAAAAGCAGUUUGUUCUGAGUGACCUGUGCGGUCUACUAUCAAUCACUGCCAUUUCUAUCAUUUAGUACUAUUGACUGUGUGUAUAGAUAUUUUGUUUUUGCCAUGUAAUUUCAUGUUUGAUACAUUUCUAAUACAUUGCAUAGCGUUCAUGAACGAGAAUGAUAAACUAACUUUCAGGUGUGUUUAAGUAGAUGAAAAAACUUGGUACAAUUUAGAAGGAUUCACUAAUUUUCCAAUUUGUUUGUAUGGAGAAAUUGAAUAGUUAAUUGAUUAGAGGAUUGCAAAGUGGGUAGGUCCAGCUGGGCAUUGUCAAUAUUAACGAUCGAUGUUUUGAGAAGGUCUGGAGCUGACAUCACGGUUGCGUCUGUGGAGAAACAACUUCGUGUCGACGCGUGUCACGGUGUCAAGAUUGUCGCUGAUGCUCUCGUGUCUGACUGCCGCGACGCCGUUUUUGAUCUUAUAGCUCUUCCCGUAUGUAUUGCAGCUCACCUCAGCUCAUGCCAAUUUAUGUGAUGUUUGUAUAAUUAUAGAUGAUUAUUGCUGAUACUGAAUGUUAAGCUAAAUAAUUCGUUCUUAAGUCAUCUUCAUUUAAUUUUCGAUUGAAAAUGAAAAAAAUAAUAAUUGUAAGCAAAGAAAAAUAUCGAAAAUGUUUAUUUUGUUUUAAUUUUAUUUUUUAAUUUUUUGGGAUUUCCUUAUUGUGGCUGUUAUUAUUCAUUAUAUGGUCCUAGUUAAAUAUUUCAAGUUGUUGUAGUUAGUGAAUUUCUUUUCGAUAUUUAUUCUGGCAUGUAUAUUUUUUCUUUUCAAUUUCUUUUGUUGCUGAUUCUUUGAUUAUGUUAUAUCCUUUUUUGUUUCCCUUGUAGGGUGGCGUGCCUGGUGCUACCAAUCUGAAAGAAUCUGAAGUAUUAGAAAGCAUUGUGAAGAAGCAGGCUUCAGAUGGGCGUCUUAAUGCUGUUAUCUGUGCUUCACCUGCUGAGGCAUUAGGGUCUAGGGGUCUGUUGAAGGGAUUGAAGGUAAGAAUUAGAUAAACCUUUUUGAUGUUCUGUGGUCUUUUGGGAAUUGCACUGAUAUUUUUGUUAUAGUUCAGUUUUCUUCUCGCUGAUGAUUGUUAAGUUCUAAUUUAUGUAGUUGUUCAUUUUUCGUAGGCUACUUGUUAUCCGUCAUUUAUGGAGCAAUUAGCUCCUGCUUGUGCAACAACUGUUGAAUCAAGAGUACCACAGGAUGGUAAAGUUGUUACGAGUCGUGGACCCUGCACUACUAUGGAGUUUGCUGUUGCACUUGUUGAGCAGUUGUAUGGGAAAGAGAGAGCUGAUGAGGUUUCUGGGCCACUGGUAGUAACUUUUAUAGAUAAUGUUGUUUAAAAAAAUUGUGAGUUAUAUAAUUUGUUGAAAUUCAUUCUAAUAGGUUCAUCUGGUAUGUCAAAUUGGAAGGUUCAGAUGCUAAUGUAGUCCAAAAAAUUAGUUCAGGGGAAAAGUAUGACUUUUUGCAUUAGAGAUUUAUUAGAUGAAGUUGUAUACCUACUGGCCCAUCUUAAUAUGGUGAAAACGAUGUAAAAUCGGGAGAGGGGGUUCGGGGGAGAGGGGAAGCCCUCUCCAACCGCAAGGCCGUUAUUCUGACAUGAAUAGAGUAAGGCCUUUACUUUUAUAAAGAAAGGUCCCUGUUUUGCACGUCUCCACUGAUCACAUUCUUUUUAAUGUAAGUUCUUUCUCUUGGUAUUUGUCUUUGAUUUUUCUCUUCCUCAUGCUGUCGUCUGUCAAAAGAUUUGGCUGCAGCAUCUAGAAGUUUUGAAGAAGCAAAAUGGGUCACACGGCUUUGAAGUUCUAGAUGCCGUAAUGUUUGGUAAAAGUAAAAAAAAAUUCAAAGCUCAAAAAUUCAAAGUUCGAAAAACUGAAAUUUUUGAGCUGUAUGGCUUGUAAUUUUAUAGCCACUUUUUUGACUUUUAAGGAAAAGUUUUACCUAUAAAUACAAGCUCUCAAUUUAGAGCUUGCAUCCAAUUUUGUAAAGAGAGUCGAGAGCUGUGAAAAGCAAUUCUUGCAGAGCAGAGAGUUUGUAGAGCUUAAAUAAUAAAAGCUGUUGUUUUAAUGAUUUGAGAGUUUGGAUGUAUUGGGGUUUUGGGAAGUGAGCUAAAAUACUACAAUACUUGUAACUCCUUUUCACUAGUAAAAUAUUUUUCUUCUAUCUUCACCCAUGGACGUAGGUUAAAAGCCGAACCACGUAAUUUCCUGGUGUCCUCUUUGUGCUUCUUCUUGAUUUUUUUUUCCCAAUUUUACUUUAGUUGCGGCCCUGCUUCACCCGCCAAUUUCCUAACAGCGGUAUCAGAGCUAUUAGUUGUAUUAUUUGGAGUCGGGUACUAUUCACAUACGGUACUGUUCACAUAUACGGUACUAUUCAUGUAUACGUUACUAUUCACGUGAAACGGUGGGAGCAAUUCUAGUAUUGGCGAUGCAAAGCAGGGGAAUAGUGUGUGUGAGUGGAGUAAUUGUGUGGUUUUGGACAUGUGUAAGAAAGUUCUGUCACAAAGGCGAUAAGAGCCUAAGGAGUUAGGAUUUUAAGUGGGACUAUUGUGACCCCUCCAGUCUUUCCUGGGAACUUUCUUGGUGUGCUCUCACACAUACUCACAACUAUUCAAGCUGGUACACUAGUUUUGUACAAUAUUUAUCAACAAAAUGGUGGCAAAGUAUGAAAUUGAGAAGUUUAACGGAAAUAAUUUUUCGUUGUGGAAAAUGAAGAUGAAAGUUGUAUUGAAGAAAAAUAAUUGAUUGGCAGCAAUUAGAGAAAGGCCCAUGGAGAUAACUGAUGACAAGUGGAACAAGAUAUAUGGCAACGCCAUUUUUGAUCUACACUUGGCACUUACGGAUGAAGUAUUAUUCAGUGUGGCAGAGAAAACUACAGCGAAGGAAAUAUGGGAUACUCUCACAAAAUUGUACGAGACCAGGUCACUACACAACAAAAUCUUCUUAAAGAGGAAGCUCUAUACUCUUCGAAUGACGGAAUCUACAAUGGUGACCGACCACAUCAAUACCUUGAAGACUCUAUUUUCACAACUCACAACGUUAGGUCAUAAUAUAGAGGAAAAUGAACAUGCAGAGCUUCUACUUCAAAGUCUACCAGAUUCGUAUAAUCAACUCAUCAUCAACCUGACGAAUAAUAAUCCAGCGGACAGUUUGGUUUUCGACGAUGUUGCAGCCUCCGUAUUAAAUGAGGAGAGCAGGCGGAAAAAUAAGAAAAAUAGACAAGCAAGUUUGCAGCAAGCGGAGGCGUUAUCGGCGACGAGAGGGAGAUCAACGGAACGUGGCUGGCCCCAGUGGGAGUCACAAUCGUGGUAGAUCAAAAUCCAGAAGUAAGAAGAAUGUUAAAUGCUACAAUUGUGGUAAGAAAGGGCACGUCAAGAAAGAGUGUUAGAGUAACCAGAAGAGAAAAGAUGGCAAAAAACCUGAGUCAUCAAAUGCUCAGGGGUGUGUAGCAAGUACCUCGGAUGAUGACGAAAUUCUCUACAGCGAGGCAACAACUGUUUCAGAAGGUAGAAAAUGACUAUAUGAUGUCUGGCUUAUAGACUCAGGAGCUACCUGACACAUGACCUAUCGUAGAGAAUGGUUCCACACAUAUGAACAUAUCUCAGGAGAAUAUGCAUAUAUAGGUAAUGAUCAUGCCUUGGAGAUCGUUAGUAUUGGUACUAUCAAAAUAAAAAUAUUUGAUGGUACAAUUCGCACAAUUGAGGAGGUACAACAUAUCAGCGGCCUGAAGAAAAAUCUAUUGUCUUUGGGACAAAUGGAUAGUCAUAGGUACAAAACUCAUGUGGAGAAUGGAAUUAUGUAGAUCGUUAAAGGCGCGCUUGUAUUGAUGAAGGCAGAAAAGAUCAGUGCUAAUUUAUUCAUGCUUAAAGGAGAAACACUACAGGAGGCUGAUGUAUGUGUCGCGUCAAAUGGAGAAGAGUCAACGAUGAUGUGGCAUCUCAAACUUGGCCACAUGUCAGAACAAGGCUAGAAGAUUCUCUCUGAGUGAAAAUUGCUUCCAGGGUUCAAAUCGGUAAGUUUACCAUUUUGCGAGCAUUGUGUUAUAAGUAAGCAACAUAGAUUAAAGUUCAGUAGAUCUAUUACUAGAAGUAAAUGCAUUCUAGAAUUGAUUCAUUCUGAUGUUUAGGAAUCGCCGGAUAUGUCCAUGGGAGGUGCAAAGUACAUGGUGACUUUCAUUGAUGAUUAUUGCAGGAGAUGUUGGGUGUAUUCAAUUAAGAAAAAGUCAGAUGUAUUUCCAGUGUUUAAAGAAUACAAAGCGCGGGUGGAACUUGAAUUUGGUAAAAGGAUCGAGUGCUUGGGGACAAAUAAUGGUGGAGAGUAUACAGACGGCGAGUUUCUUGCUUUCUGUAAGCAAAAAGGUAUUUAGAGGUAGUUAAUGGUAGCAUACACUCCUCAACAAAACGGAGUGGCGAAGCGAAUGAACAUAACUCUUACAAAAAGAAUAAUAGCUAUGUUGAGGACUGCUGGUCUACCCAAUUCAUUCUGGGCAGAAGCAGCCAAAACUGCCUGUUAUAUCGUAAAUCGAUUGCCAUCUACAACAAUUGGGCUGAAGACAGCGAUGGAGAUAUGGACUGGAAAGCUAGCUGAUUACUCAUACCUACAUGCAUUUGGAUGUCCUGUGUACGUGAUGUACAAUGCCCAAGAAAGAAUAAAGCUUGAUCUAAAAUCUAGAAGAUGUAUCUUCUUGGGAUAUACUGAUGGAGUAAAGGGGUAUCGUCUGUAGGACCCCACUGCCCACAAGAUCGUCAUCAGCAGAGAUGUUAUUUUUUGUAGAAGAUCAACUACAAAGGAAAGAUAGAGAUGAUGACACUGUAAAAGAAAAGUCAGAGACUGUGCCAGUAUAUGUGGAAAAUAAUCCAGAAGAUUCAGAUUCUUCUGAAGCAACACCAGAGCAUGAAGAAUAAGAAUCAGUCGAGUUCGAGGCUCCAGAAGUUCGUCGGUUAACUCGUGAAAGACGACCGCCAACGUGACACUCGGAGUAUGUCACAGAGAUCAACGUUGCAUACUGUUUUCUAACAGAGGAUGGAGAGCCUUCAACUUUCCAUAAAUCUUUAAACAGCUCAGAUGUUACUUUAUGGAUGACAACAAUGCAGGAAGCAAUUGAGGCUCUACAUAAGAACAAGACAUUGGAGCUUGUACCACUACUACGUGGAAGAAAAGAUAUUGGAAACAAAUAGAUCUACAAGAUCAAAUGUGAUGGUAAUGACCAAGUGGAACGGUAUCAUGCAAGAUUGGUGGUGAAAUGAUAUGCUCAGAAAGAAGGUAUUGACUUCAACGGAAUAUUUUCUCUGGUGGUUUGACUCACAACAGUCAGAAUAGUCUUGGUAAUGUGUGCUACAUUUGACUUACAUCUUGAGCAGUUAGAUGUGAAAAUUGCAUUUCUUCAUGGAGAACUUGAAGAAGAAAUUUAUAUGCUCCAACCAGAAGGUUUUGCUGAAAAGGGAAAGGAGAACUUGGUUUGCAGGUUGAACAAAUCUUUAUACGGUCUCAAACAGGCACCGAUGUGUUGGUAUAAGAGAUUUGAUUCCUUCAUCAUAAGCCUCAGAUACAAUAGACUCAGCUCAGACCAAUGUGCAUAUUAUAAAAGGUUUGAAGAUAAUGAUUUCAUUAUUUUGAUAUUGUAUGUGGAUGACAUGUUGGUAGCAGGCCCCAACAAAGAUCGAGUCCAAGAAUUGAAGGUAUAAUUGAUUAGGGAGUUUGAAAUAAAGGACUUGGGACUAGAAAAUAAGAUUCUAGGGAUGCAAAUUCACCGAGACAGAAAUAACAGGAAGAUUUGGCUUUCUCAGAAGAACUACUUGAAGAAAAUUUUGCGACGCUUCAACAUGCAAGAUUGUAAGUCAAUUUCUACCCCACUUCCUGUUAAUUUCAAAUUAUCCUUAAGUAUGUGUCUGAGCAAUGAAGCAGAGAAGGAGGAGAUGUCUCGAGUACCGCAUGCAUCAGCAGUGGGAAGUUUGAUGUUCGCUAUGAUAUGUACUGGAUCGGACAUUGCACAAGCAGUGGGAGCAGUCAGUCGGUACAUGGCAAAUCCUAGUGGAGAGUAUUGGAUAACUGUGAAGAAGAUUCUGAGAUACAUCAGAGGAACCUCAGAUGUUGCAUUAUGUUAUGGAGGAUCAGAGUUUACUGUCAGGGGUUAUGUGGAUUCAGAUUUUGUAGGAGACUUUGAUAAAAGAAAAUCCACUAUUGGCUAUAUGUUUACACUUGCAGGAGAAGCUGUAAGCUGAGUUUUGAAACUGCAGACCGUUGUGGUUUUAUCUACAACAGAAGCAGAAUACAUGGCAGCUACACAAGCUUGGAAGGAAGCUAUCUGGAUACAAAGGUUAUUGGAGGAGUUCGGGCACAAACAAGAGAAAAUUUUUGUGUAUUGUGACAGUCAGAGUGCCUUGCAUAUUGUAAGAAAUCCAGCAUUUCAUUCAAGGACAAAGCAUGUAGGAGUUCAGUAUCACUUCGUUCAAGAAGUAGUGGAAGACGGAAGUGUGGAUUUACAGAAAAUCCAUACGAAGGAGAACCUAGCAGAUGUUUUGACCAAGCCGAUAAAUACUGAUAAGUUUGUCUGGAGUAGAUUCUCUUGUGGCCUAGCAGAAACGUAGGCAACAUGACAGUGGCGAAGCAGAAACGAUGGUGUGGAGAUUGAUUGAUCCUCAAUCAAAUCUCCAAGUGGGAGAAUGUCAAAAGAUUUGGCUGCAACAUCUAGAAGCUGCAUCUAGAAGUUUUGAAGAAGCAAAAUGGGUGGCACAUGACUUUGAAGUUCUAGAUGCUGUAAUGUUUAGUAAAAGAAAAAGAAAAAAAUUCAAAGCUAAAAAAUUCAAAGUUUGAAAAUCUAAAAUUUUUGACCUGUAUGGCUUGAAAUUUUAUAGCCACGUUUUUUACUUUUGAGGCAAAGUUUUGCCUAUAAAUACAAGCUCUCAAUUUAGAGCUUGCAUCCAAUUUUGUAAAGAAAGUCGAGAGCUGUUAGAAGCAAUUCUUGCAGAGCAGAGAGUUUGUAGAGCUUAAAUAAUAAAAGCUCUUGUUUUAGUGAUUUGAGAGUUUAGGUGUAUUAGGGUUUUGGGAAGUGAGCUAAAAUACUACAAUACUUGUAACUCUUUUUCACUAGUAAAAUAUUUUCCUUCUGUCUUCGCCCGUAGAAGUAGGCUAAAAGCCGAACCACGUAAUUUCCUGGUGUCCUCUUUGUGCUUGUUCUUUAUUUUUUUUCAAUUUUAUUUUAGCUGCGGCCCUGCUUCACCCACCAAUUUUCUAACAUCGUCUUCACUGUCACCCUGUGCCUAGGUAAUGCGUGCAAAUCAUGGGGUUGAAUACACUAUUGCUGAAUUCAAUCCAAUUCAGUGGACAUUUGACAAUUCUCCCCAGGUGAGAUUGGACUUCUAGUUUCUUGUAUUUGUUUUUCUUCAUCCGAUGUUUUCAGGGAUACCUAUUUGGCAGUAUAUAAAAAUCUGUGAUAUCGUCUAUACAUAUACAUAUACAUCAUUGGCUUCAGUCAUUUGUGAACAUAUUGGUGGUAGUAGAUGUAUUUUUAUGAUAUCUCUAAUAAAAUCCUAAGUUUGAUUAAUUACAAAAGAAGUAUGAGCGGUGCUGGACCGGGGGGGAGGGGGGAGGAGUGGGGUGUCGGUGUGUUGGGGGUGUGCAGUGCAUGAAUAAAAGGAAAUGAUAGGGGGUGAAAGUUUGUGCUACCGACAUGCUGUAAAAUGGGGACACAAUAUUUCAAAUUAGAGAUUGUGAGAUCCUUAAUAUUGCUGACUUGUGCUUAAAAUGGAAUUCUUGAUAACUUCAAAUGUUAAAGUUCUUGGUGAAAUUUUGUACUUUCUUUUCUUUCAGAUUCUUGUGCCUAUUGCAAAUGGUUCAGAGGAGAUGGAAGCUGUUAUGAUAAUUGAUAUUCUGCGACGAGCUAAAGCAAAUGUUGCAGUUGCAUCAGUUGAGGAUAAACUAGAAAUUCUGGCUUCGUCAAAUUAAAUUAGUGGUAGAUGUGCUCAUUGAUGAGGCGGCUAAACUUUCGUAUGAUUUAGUUGUCUUGCCAGUGAGUUGGGGUGCUUACUCUUGCUUCAUAGUCUUUACCACAUUAUUGACUUACUAACUACAAUUUAUCCAUGCACAUUGCACAGGGUGGACUUGGUGGCGCUCAAGCAUUUGCGAAGUCAGAUAAAUUGGUGAAUAUGCUAAAGAAGCAAAAGGAAUCAAAUAGACCUUACGAUGCUAUAUGUGCAUCCCCAGCUUUAGUGUUGGAGCCCCGUGGCUUACUCAAGGUACGACCAUUUCUGCUUAAAUUAUUUACUCAGAUUUGGAUCACCUAAUCUGAACUUGAUGAGAGAUUAUGAUGUUGUAUGAUUUUAUGAAUGUGGUCUUAUCUCAUGUAAGUCAGUGAUGAAUUAAUUGGAGUUUGUUGACAAAUUAGAAGCUGAAAAACUGCUGCUGCUUCGUUAGUUACAUUACCCAAAGAGUUAAAAUUAACAUCACAAAUUUGUUAUCCCAAAUGAUAUGGCAUUUAUUGAGUGAUUGGUAUUAAUUGUAUUAUCUAACCCACCAACAGAUGAAUGCCGCACCAUUUGAGACGAUCUUUUGGGAUAAAAAAUUUGGGAAGUGCAGCAAAUUUUUAUGCCGAUUUUUUUUGGCUUCAUUCAUGUAAACUCCUCCCCCCCCCCCCCCAAAAAAAAAGGAAAACCAGCAAACACCAAAAAAAAAAAAUUCUGAAGUACUUCCCUUAAUAUCAUUCCUGUGUAUUUCUUUUCCCCUCAAGACAUAUUUAACUUUGGUUCAGGGUAAAAAAGCUACAGCUUUUCCUGCCAUGUGCAACAAGCUGUCAGAUCAGAGUGAAAUCGAAAACAGAGUUGUGGUUGAUGGCAACCUCAUCACCAGUAGAGGGCCAGGAACUUCAAUGGAGUUUGCACUGGCAGUUGUGGAGAAGUUUUUUGGCCGCAACAAGGCACUUGAGCUUGCAAAGAUAAUGCUUUUCACUCGCGCCUAACGUUUGUACCGGGACCUGACUACUAUUAAACUAGUGUGUUUAUUUCUGUAUUACUACUGCUUGUAGAGAGGGGAAACGGAAACUUGAAUUCAUGUUUGAAUAUGGAUUCACUGUGUCGGUUUGUACAGCAGUUUGGUUUAUAAAUAAAUGAGUUCAUAGAGUCAUUUCAAAUAUUUGGAAUAAACCUGAGUUUAGUUCUGUUAUCAAUGGUCGGAGUCCAAUUGCGAUCGACUCACUGGGAAUUUUAAUUAUG
rnacentral:lncRNA from 1 species